CACCGGAGAUGCUUAUAACUUUAUUCCAACAUUUUGUUUCUCAAAAGAAAAACCCAUCCCAACAGGUUUGCAUCUACGUGCCGAAAAUCUCGGGCAUAUCUCGUGCAACCAAAUCAGCAUAGCUGUUUUGCCCAGAGCGCUUCCCUCGGAUUCUUUCAUAUGAUUAUGGCAGCUAUUACAACGGACUUGCUUCUCGAAAAUCUCUAAUACAGUUUACAAUGCACGAUGCAUCGCCUCAGUUAUGUGUACAGAAAAUUUUGGGGCAACGUCCGAGUGUUCUAGACAGUAUACACUGCCCAUUGCUAAUUCCUCCCAUUCCAACACAAGAAGAGACACCUUCUGAGCCACUGCUCCAGUCCACAAGGAAUUUCAUUUGUGCAUGCUCCUACAUGGCAGAGCUCAGAAGGGUUGCCUUUUGGGGGCGUGAUCGAAAAUCCUUGCCUGCAAAUGUAACAAAUAGCAAGAUGAGUCACAGACAAUGUUCAACAAUCCAAGACGGAAAUUUACUCACGGAGUUGCAUGAACACUGCAGUAAAUUGGAGUCCAUUGAUCCCAUACGCCCCUACCUGAAGAAGGGCAACUCUGUUUGCUUAAACGAUGGUUGAACAAUUCUAAGUUCUCCGCUACUUCUAUAUACUCUUGACCUGAAGUUAAUGAACGAAAGCCUAGAGAAAUAUCUUCCACGCUAUAACUUGAUUACCAUGGAGUUACAAAGCAUGCAAUGAUGCAAAUGUAUAGGAGGUCGAGAUAUGUGUCAUCCUUUUUCUUGUAUAGCGACAAUUGAUAUUUUACUACAAUUACCUCAUUUACAUAACUGAAAAGGUACAGAACAUAUGAAAAAAUCCUAGUAUUUCAUCAAGCAAUAAACAAAGGAACCAACACAUACAGAGAAGUAGACUUCAAACAGGAAAAGAACAUACCUUGGAAUAGCGCCCUCUAACAUGGCAAAGCCGUGGCCACUGAACCAAAGAAAUAAGAUUCAAGCACCAGAGAUAAAGGUCAAGACUUCUGCAAGGUCCUUGACUAUCACCCUGCUUCAAGAAGAUAUUGGCAUUUUACAGAACUCUGAACAGACAAGAGACCAGGUGUUUGCUAGUUAUAGUGCUCCGAAGAUGGGGGCCAACUUAGCCUGGGGUACUCAUAUCUAACACUAACACCAUAGGUCCGAACUCUAAAAUGUAGGCCAAUCGUCAGAUAUAAUGGUGCAAAAUGCUUCCCUCUGACAAAAUCCUGGAACUUUACUUUCGUAUAUUUCAAAUUAUACUUGAAGAUCCACUAGAUCUUCAUCUAUAAGCUGCAUGUGGUCCCUGGGAUCACUGCCAGCCAUCCUCAUCAUGUGAUGAAUAUCUUGCAGCAGACUAUAAAUCAACUCAGACUCACUGUGGGACUUGUCACGUGCUACAAAUACAUGUACCUUAUUUGCCAGCUCAAUCCAACUACAUCCUGGCUGUUUCUUUAGUCCUCUAUCAUUCAUCUCAGACCGAAUCUUUGCUGCUUCUUUCCACUUACCAGCAGAAGCAUAAAUAUUAGACAAGAGAGUGUAAGUUCCGGCAUUAUCAGGUUCUGCUUCUAAGAGAUUUCUUGCUGCCAAAUCGCCGAUGCUUUCAUUUCCAUGUGCGUUACACCCACCUAGAAGGGCACUCCAUACAGUACUUGAUGUAGGCUUAAGUUUAAGACCGUUGAUUAAUCUUUUGGCAUCAUCAAGUCUUCCGGCUCGGCUACAGAGAUCAAUCAAGCAACUGUAAUGCUCAUCCCGCACUGCAAUGGACUUAUCCUUUGCCAUGUAUUCAAAUAUCCUAAGCCCUUCGUCAACCAAACCAGAGUGGCUACAUGCAGACAGCAAUCCCACAUACGUGACAUCAUUAGGCUUAUAUCUAUUUUCCUGCAUCUUUUCAUACAAAGCUAUAGCUUCUACACCAGCCCCAUGAUGUGCAUAUGCUGCAAUCAUCCCAUUCCAAGAUAUUACGUCCUUCUCCCCCGAGAGAUCAAACACCUUCCUUGCCAAUCUAAUUUCGCCACAUUUGGCAUAUAACUUCAUGAGGCUGGACUCGAUAAAAUUAUCAAACUGGAAUGGUGUUUUGCAUAUCAUCUGAUGCACCUGCUGCCCUUCACUGAGUCCCGCAAGAUUGCUGCACGCAUCAACCGCGCCCAAAAAUGUCACCUGAUUCGGUCUGAUCCCGUCAACGAGCAUACCGUUAAAUACCUGCAGUGCCAUUUCGCUCUCAUUACCUUGCAAGCAACCAUUCAUCAUAGUAGUCCAGCUGACUACAUUCCGCUUAGGCAUCUCGUCAAAGAGUUCUUGUGCCUUCUUCAGAUCUUUGUUCUGGAUAAAACCGGUGAUCAUGAUGUUCCAAGAAGCGACGUCCCUCUCGGGCAUAUUCAUGAACAAAUCAAGAGCUUCGUCGAUCCUGAGGUUCCGGGCGUACCCGGAGAUCAUGGCAUUCCAGGAAACGACAUUCCUCUCCGGCAUGCCAUCGAACAGCGCUCGAGCCUCGUCCGCGCUUCCGCUCCGUGCGAGGCCGGAGAUCAUCGUCGUCCACGACAUCACAUUCCUCUCGGGCAUUCUCUCAAACAGCCUCCGUGCCUCGUCCAUGGUUCCAGACCGCACCAGCGCGGCCAGAAGGAUGUUCCAGGAGCCGGCGUCCCUCACGGGCAUACCAUCGAACAGCGCGCACGCGGCCCCCAUGCGGCCGGCCGAGGCGUAGGCCUCCAGCAUCGUGUUCCACGACACGACGUUCCUCUCGGGCAUCCGGUCGAACAGCGCCCUGGCCUCGUCGACGCGGCGCGCCCGCGCGUACCCGGAGAGGAGCGCGGUCCAGGUGACCACGUUCCGGCGCGCGUCGGGGCGGUGCAACAGCGCGCUGGCCUCGUGGAGCUGGCCCUGGCGCGCGUACGCCGCGACCAUCGCCGUCCAGGACACCACGUCCCGGUCCGGCGUCCGGUCGAACAGCCUGCGGGCGUCGGGGACGCGCCCCGCGGCGGCCAGCUCGGCGAUGCGGCGGUUCGGAUCCUGGACAUGGCUGAACGCGUCGGUGGCGGAGACGGCGGCCGCGCCGUGGUAGGAGAAGGUGUAAGCGAGGCGGAGCCGCGGUGAGCGGAGGCGGCGCAGCGCGGCGCCGGCUGCUGCCAUGCUUGGAAGAAGCAGCGACCUCUGAACCCCGAUUUAGAGGGGAUGCUACCGCCACGUCGGAGUGUCGGACAACCAGCGUGGAACCUCUGGCCCACGUGUGAGACGACAGGUGGGUCCUAUCUGUCAGUCCGUUAUGAAGCAAGGCUGAUCUGAAAAUCCAGUCCGUGAAUUGAACGGUCUAUGUUUAGAAUGCGCUUGGCUGUAGAACUAAGUACUCCAUCCAUUUUGGCUCAAUUAAAUGGUAGAAGGUGUUUAACCAGUGACACUUCAAAUCAUGUACUCCCUCCACUUGAAAUACUUGACGCUCAAACGUUGUAUAAGUAAUUUCAGAUGGAGAAAGUAUAAAAUAUAUACGGUGAGGUAAAUUUCCAUCCCUGUCGAUUUGUAUGCUAGGUGACUUACAAAAAUACCCAUGUCUAUCGACAUGAAGGACAUGAGGAAGACCAAUAGCAAUGAUGGAUUUAGGCCCCAUGCAGCCCAGGCAGUGGCAUGGACGUCCCAAUUGGUUUGUCACUGGGGUCUGGCGCAGUUCGCCUGGGGCGCGGCAGGGACGGAGCUCCCUUGUAGGCAAUGGGGUCAAUUGACCUCAGUAAAAUUAGCAAUUCCUUCAAUAAUUUAGCAUUAAUCAUUACUCAUUUAUGAAGGAUGACCCUAUUAUCAUAGACAUGACCCCAUAAACUUUUUUCAAACUUCAUCACUAGGGCGCGGUCUAUUCAUGUAUCCGCCACUGACAAAGAAGAUACUAUAAGUUUUAGAUUGCUCAAUGAGAUACAUAGAACACAUCAAUAUACACAUUCUUACGAUUAUUUAUUUAUGUAUGAGUCCAUACCGUCCCUCUUCAACACAUAGAAAUUGUUCACGUAAGUCUAGCAGAGUCACAUUGAAAGCAACACUCUAAUCACACAACAAUAAUCAAGGCUUGCCUGGAACGUUGUGUGAUUGUAGGUCCGCUACUGAUAACUAGGUUGCAUGGUGAAGUGAUCCAGUUCGUCCCCGUCAUCCACUGUCAGCUCCAAGCCCCAACCCCUCGGAACGAUGAAGAUCUUGAUCACAUGUUUUCUAUUUUUACAUGUGAUACUUGGAGAUGGUCCUUUAGGGGUUGUACUUUCAUUUUUGAGUGCACAAUGGGUGUGGGAUGAUGUAAUACGUUGGUUGUUGUGUGCGAACUGGAUGAUGUAACCUGUUUGGUUUAUUGUUGUAAUGGAGUUAGGGUUGGAGCCAUUUUCCUCUAAAACACAAGAAGUUUCGUAGUGUCGAUUCUUGGCAAGUACAAUUAGAUCUUGCCUCUACCUCUAAGCACAUAAAAUGGAAUUCUCACACUGGUCAUUGGCUAUAUGUAUUGUUUCCCCUUCCAUUAGGACCCAUAGCAGUCUGGAUUCUAAGCAUUAUGCUUGCGUUUGUUGCCAACAAUGGCGAAAGUCGCAAAAAGAGCAACAGGGAGAGAGCGUCAUCGAGGGAGAAGAGCCCAGGCAAGUGGAGCAAAGAAGUAGUUUUCCUUUUUCCUAUUUGUUUGGAAUCAAACUAGGAGUAACUUGUUAGUUCGACCUCAAAACCUUUUCCUCUUUGAGACGAUCUCUCCAAUGUACGAAACCAUGGAAAUCAACUCCAAAAUUCUUCCUAAUCACUCUCAGACAACACCAGGGAUGAUAUAAAUGAUCCAUGAGCUAUUCAUCAAAGUGAAAAAGAUGAUUAACCCACUAACGUUCCAUUCAUGCAGGACCGAAGCACAAUUUAAACUAUCCACUCCAUUUGUUUUUAUGAGACUUUUCAGACAGCUUGCUUUAUAUUGAUUUAGGCAGUGUCUGAAUGUCUAAAAUGUCUUAUAAAAAUGAACAGAUGGAGUAGAACCGGACCUACAGACACUAUGGCAAUAAGAGCACCUCCACCCCCCCCCCAACAACUCCCACAUGCCUUUUUUACCGUCGGUGGAAAAACAAACGUCCAAUUGCGCCCCCAGGAGCCAAAAAAUCACUGGGUUGGCCUGAAAUUGGCGUCGGUAGAUCCAGACCGAACCCAGCAUGGGGGCGGCCGGGGGCACCACGGGAAAGGAAAUUAGCGCGAAAACAAACCGCGCCAUAUUCCCCUCUCGUGGCCCCACUAAGACAGAGACUGUGUUAUGUUGUCCUUUGUCGUCCUCCUUGCCUCGCUUCGGCUCCGGUGCGAUUCAAUGUUGUUGCCGGUUUCAGCCUUCCAUUGAUGGCGAGCCACCGUCGUCCCUGCCCUUUCCUACCGCGCAUCCCCGCACACCCUCUCUUUCCCNNNNNNNNNNNNNNNNNNNNNNNNNNNNNNNNNNNNNNNNNNNNNNNNNNNNNNNNNNNNNNNNNNNNNNNNNNNNNNNNNNNNNNNNNNNNNNNNNNNNNNNNNNNNNNNNNNNNNNNNNNNNNNNNNNNUCUUUCCCUCCACGCGUCUACACCGCUCUCGCCCUCUCGCCGUUAUAAAAGCCGGCCUUCGCUGCCGCUCGCAGCACACCGCCAUCUCUUUGCCUACGCUCCAGCGCCAACCAUCUCCUUCUCGCUUAAAAACCCAAGGGAAACGCCAUGGCGGACAGGUUUCCCAGUGACAGGGCGGCGGUCAACGGCUUCGGACGCUGCUGGUUGCACGAAUGAGAGGAUCGCGUGCUGCAGGAGGCGAACUACCCGUUGUUGCUCGACAUGCGCGUAUCAAGUGCAUGUGAUAGCCUGGCUUANAAUAAAAGUUCUCGGAAUCGGAUGAAAAUUUCCGUGAAUUAAUUUUGGGAUUUAUAAGGAUUCAUGGAGCGAAGGCCUGUCGGAAGGGAAGUGCCAUGGGGCCACAAGCCAUCAUGGCUCCCCCAGGCCGCGUCGUGAUGGCUUGUGGGGCCCUCGAAGCUCCUUCGACCCUAAUUCGAGUCCUACAAAAUCAUAUUAUGUGAGAAAAAAUCAAAGAGAAGUUUUCAUCGCGUUUUACAAGAGGGAGCCGCCACCUCCCGUUCUNNNNNNNNNNNNNNNNNNNNNNNNNNNNNNNNNNNNNNNNNNNNNNNNNNNNNNNNNNNNNNNNNNNNNNNNNNNNNNNNNNNNNNNNNNNNNNNNNNNNNNNNNNNNNNNNNNNNNNNNNNNNNNNNCCACCUCCCGUUCUUCCUUCCUCCGGAGGGCUGAUCUGGAGUCCGUUUGGGGCUCCGGAGAGAAGGAUUCGUCGUCGUCAUCACCAACCCUUCUCCAUCAACAUCACCAUGAUGCUCACCACUGGAAGUGAGUAAUUCCUUUGUUGGAUUGCUGGACAACGCGUGGAAUUGAAUGAGAUUGAUCAUGUAAUCGAGUUAAGUUUGAUAGGUUUUGAUCCCUAGUAUCCANNNNNNNNNNNNNNNNNNNNNNNNNNNNNNNNNNNNNNNNNNNNNNNNNNNNNNNNNNNNNNNNNNNNNNNNNNNNNNNNNNNNNNNNNNNNNNNNNNNNNNNNNNNNNNNNNNNNNNNNNNNNNNNNNNNNNNNNNNNNNNNNNNNNNNNNNNNNNNNNNNNNNNNNNNNNNNNNNNNNNNNNNNNNNNNNNNNNNNNNNNNNNNNNNNNNNNNNNNNNNNNNNNNNNNNNNNNNNNNNNNNNNNNNNNNNNNNNNNNGAUCCUAUCUUGCAAGUUAUAGUUACCUAUUACGUGCGUUGAUCCUCAUACCCCAAGGUGACAAUAAAUUAAGAUUUUUUCCGGUGAUUGACGUAGUUCGAGGAGUGAAUGUAUUCACUUUUGAUUUACCCACUGUUUUGAAUCGACUUGUUACACCACCACCUGUUGCUCGGCCUGAUAUGCCACAUGAAUUUGAUGAUGCUAUUUCUGAAACUAAUGAUGAUACUAUUGCUACACGUAAUGAAACUGAAAUUGUGCCACCAGGAGUUUUACUUGAUGCUCAUAUUGUUAGAGCUAGUGAACUUGAAAAUGCUGAAAUCGAUGAACCGCAUCCCUCGGAAAGUGGAGAGGCACUUGCUAUAGUUUUUAGCAGCUCAAUUUUUGUGGUCCCCUACAUUCCUUUGUUUCAUUGACAAGUGANNNNNNNNNNNNNNNNNNNNNNNNNNNNNNNNNNNNNNNNNNNNNNNNNNNNNNNNNNNNNNNNNNNNNNNNNNNNNNNNNNNNNNNNNNNNNNNNNNNNNNNNNNNNNNNNNNNNNNNNNNNNGUUUCAUUGACAAGUGAACCCCAUCACCCCCUAGAUUCCUGCCGUCCUGGGCCCGACACAGGUGCCCCACGUGUCAUUGAGAGGCUUGUUAAAUUGUGUAGCAAUGCCGUUGGAGCAAAAAAACUGUUGGGUUGCUAAUUCUUCCUUUUUCUCUUGCUAUAUACCCAUUUUUUAUCAGGUCAGAGUCGCAAUGCUGUCGGAGAUGCUCCUAGCGGCCAAAAGGCUGAAGAUGCUCUAGUACACAACCUAGUGAAAGCCAAAGAUAUCAAAACAGUCACAUGUGUGAGAUCCUCACGUUUCUUUUGUUUGACGGGUGGAUCCUCACACGUCUAGCACAAGGGAGCACACCAUCAAUCAACCACACCCAAAAGUACCAAAAUCACCCACAGCAUCUCCGGAUCCAGGCCGUCCACCACCACAACCGACGGCCAGGAUCAUCUCAUCCCGACCCAUCACGCCCCCCCCCACCCCCCANACCUACCCCACCCCUACCCCGAGGUUUCCUUUGGAGGCUAUCAUCCGGAAGAGUCGCCGCGUGGGAAGCCCGACCCAAAACCUCCCCCCAAGGGUGAAAGAAACCAGAGAGCGACCGAGGCGGAGGAGAGUGAGCAGCGGUCCCACGCGCCAGCCAGCAGCGGACCCCAUGGCCGCCGGCGACGGCGACGGCGCCGACCCGAUGGAGCUCGUGCGGGGGCAGUACGACGCCGACGAGCUCGCCAUCGCCGGGGAGUUCCUCACCACCUGGCUCCCCUUCCUCUCCGCCGGCCUCUGCCCCUCCUGCGUCGGCUCCCUCCGCGGCCGCGUCGCCUCCCUCCUCCCGCCCCCGCCGACGCCAGGUAAUGACGAUGCCCGCCGCGCCGCGCCUGGGGGGAAGGAGUGGAAAAGGAAAGGGACUUUCUUGCUAGGGUUCUUGCUUGGCCGGGCUCUCGCUUCUCACGUCUCCCACCUAACCUUUUCUUGCAGCGGAGGAGCCGGCGCCGCCGCCGACGGCCGAUAGGGUCGUUGCCACGGGGUGGGACUCGGAUCCGGCCGCCCCGCGGCAUCUCCCGUUCGAGCCCAGCGGGUGGGACUCGGAUCCGCCCCCGCCGCCGCAGCAGGCCGAGGCGGAGAAGCCCCGGAUGUCGUGGGCGGACAUGGCGCAGGAGGACGAGCUCGCCGCCGCCGCGGCCGCCGCCGACGACGGGGAGGAGGGGGAGGAGGAGGAGGAGGCCGGCGGGGCGGGGAGGCCGAGGGCGAGCCUGACGAGGGAGCAGCGGGAGCUGCAUCGGUUCCGGAACGUGCUGCGGAAGGACGACUUCAUAUGCCUCGAGAGGGUCAAGGGCAGCCUCGUCAACAUCCUCGCCGGCCUGGAGCUCCACGCCGGCGUCUUCAGCACCGCCGAGCAGAAGCGCAUCGUGGACUGCGUCUACGGCCUGCAGGAGAUGGGCAAGCGCGGGGAGCUUGGAGGUGAGCCUUGCACAUUGGUUUUCAUCGAUUACAGUAUGCCUGUUGUUUAGAAUCCAGACAAAAUGUUUGCUUCUAAGUUCCAUGGGUGGGUCUGUAUUAGUUCAUGAGGAUGCAAGUUUGUGCCAGGUCUUGUAGCUGUAUUGGAUAUAAUGUUGUUUCAAGUUCAGUUACAUGACUGCUACUAAGGCCGUAGUGCCCGGGGUAUGUACUAUGCUCUAUGUAGGCGUAUGCUUCGGUUAAGUGGAGUAUGGUCUAUGCGACUUAUUCCGAUUUUAGGUCAGCAUAGCCAUAGGAAGGUCUCUGUAUGGAUACAGUAGCACUGCUCUGUAGAUUUUUUUUUCUUUGUCUCUCCGUCUUUUGUUUUUUGUGGGAGCUCUUAAUUUCUCCAUCAAAGGAGUGACUAGAACAUCUAUUUUGGGAGCUAUGACUUUCAGAUUUACGUUUGUUCUGUUAACUGUAUGGGAUCUUGACCCGAAGAUUCAUAGAUUUGCAUUUGUUAUGUUAACUGUAUGGGAUCUUGACCUAAAGUUGGAAACUUUUCUUAGUCAUAUGUUAGAUUACCGGAUCUAUCAAAACUAUAGCAGAUUCAGCUUUGCUUGACUGUAAUCAAUCAAACUUGAUGAGGAAGAUAAAUUGGUAUUUGGUAAUUUUUGCCUCUGCUUUCAUGGUAGGAGCCAUUCAUAGACUAAAAUACCAUAUGAUGCCAACUCUAGAUAACUGAAAGUAUCUUAAAAUGGAGAAAUCUAGUGGACGGUAAUGUACAUAAAAAAUCCCCAUCUUUUGGCACCUAUCUAUUUAAUUUGCUCACAUACUUCUGAUAUUGUGACGCCUCCGUUCACAUAAAUCUUAGGGUCUCUGUUUCUGUAUCUUUUCUGAUAUUUAAAUCCAUUUCUCUUUUGUUCUGAACAUUAGUUAUUUUCUUUUUUAGAAUGGGCUGUUCUCACAGUUGCUUUGCUGUAUCACAUACUACUAGCAUGACCUGUUCCUUAAAGCAUACAUGUCCUCUUUGGCACCUAUGAUCAUUGGGUGUGCUAGAAUUUCCUAUAGCCUGGUGCACCAGUACACGUCACGGGCCGAAGGUGCUAGUACACCUAAUAUGCCCUCACUUCCAUUGUAGCCCACGUGCACAUCCCCUGGCAUGAACCUUGUAACAUAUAACAUGUAACCAGAAACUGGCAGGAAUGUAAUGAAUGCAACUUUUCCUGAUUCAUCUUACAUCUAUUCCAUUUUCUUCUUAUUAUUACCAGUGAUAUCUUAUUUGAGAUUAUCCAAUUUCAUUAUGUAGUUUCCACUUUAUUUAAAGAAAGAAAAUUCUAUGAUAAUGAUAAUAAUUAAUUGCCAAACCAUUGUUCAGGAUAUCGUUAACUGGUACCAUAUCGGUCAGGGGCUGAGCGAAUCGGCCAUUUAACUGAAUAUAUCGGUAACCCAUUUAUCGGUCAGGGGGAACUGGGGCCAUAUCUACAAAUACUUAGGCUACAUGGCCACAUGCAUUGUACUUUGAAUAUCUAAAUAUGCAAUCCUAGGCUGCUGCUCAGGGAAGGGAUGGGUCUGGUGGCUGCAGCUUGUUGAGGGGCAGAGAGCCUGCUGCUGCUCGGGUAGGGGACAGAGCCAGAUGCUGCUGAGGGAGGGUCAGGGCUGGCGGGGGCUGCUCGUGGAGGGGACACCGCCGGCAGAGGCUGCUUGGGGAGGGGGGCGGCUUCUCCUCCAGGAGCGGGAACAGCAAUAGAUCGAGAGGGAGGGAGGACCGGAGGAGUGACGUAAACCUAAUGCUGUGGCGGCUGUGAAAACGGAAAAGUAGGGAAGGAAAGGGGCAGAUUUGGACCAAAAAAUACCGCCCAGUUAAUUGGCCCAGCCGAUAAUUCGUCCUGACAACCGAUAAAUAGGCUUGUCAGACCGAUUAACUGGGUCUGCCAGUUAAUGGAACGAAUAGGUCUUUCUCGUAUCAGUGGGGGUCCGAAUAGAAGUUAACUGCUCAUAUUGUCAAUUAAUCCGCUGAUAUUUGUAACAAUGUGCCUAACUAUUAAAGUGAUUUUUCAAAACAUGUUGCUUUUGUAUUUCUAACUCAAUGCUAAUAAUACUUGUUUCUUCAUUUAUGUUUCAAUUGUUAGUAACAUAUAAAUGUUCUCGAACUGUUAAGUCUUAACUGCAUACCCCCCAACAGUUUUUUCUUUACUUUCUGUGGCUGAACCUUGCAACAAAUAUUUCCCCCUUGUCAGAUCGUACAUAUACAGAACCUGAGAAAUGGAUGCGUGGUAAAGGGCGUGUAACAAUUCAAUUUGGAUGCUGUUAUAACUAUGCUACGGUACUUACCUUAUUCUUAGUUCCAUCUUCUUUGUAAGCUACAUUUCAACAUUAGUGAAGCCUAUCCGUAUAUGUAUCUCAAGGUGAAAUUUCUAAUGGCAGGACAGGAAAGGAAAUCCACCAGGCAUCAUUCGAACUUUUGUUUCUGAUCCGAUCCCUGAACUAUUUAAGGUCAUGAUUAAGAGAUUGGUAAGGUGGCGUAUUCUGCCAACGGAUUGUGUGCCAGACAGUUGCAUUGUCAACAUGUAUGACCCUGGAGAUUGCAUCCCACCACAUAUAGACAGCCAUGAUUUUGUUCGACCAUUUUGUACUGUUUCAUUCCUCAGUGAAUGCAACAUACUUUUUGGGUCUAGUCUGAAAAUCGCUGGUCCUGGAGAAUUUACGGGCUCAUUUGCAAUACCUCUGCCCGUUGGGUAUGUUCGUUAUCUUCUCUCGAUUAUCCUCUAUGCUUAUGAAUAUCAUGCACAAUUCACACUUCUUUUUGCAUGUAGUAUUGACACUUGAGUAUGUAGCAUAUGUAUAGGUCUGAAUUAUUCUAUUCCUGGAGAUUUCAGAAUUUGAUUGCAUAUGAAUUCAAAGACUCUGUCUGAUUCAUUUGCUUACUGCAUGACAUCUUGUUUUAGUUGCACACUUGCACGUGACUGUAUAUGCAUGGAUAGUUUUGAAUUUAUUCUAUUUUUUGACAUCCCAAAGUUCUGAUCUCAUAUGAAUACCAAGAUCAUGCAAAGGCUGUUCGAUACAUGUAAAUGAUAUUGCUCGGUGCAUAGUACAUUGAUGUGCUAAACUUGUUAGCUUUGACCUGAAGUUGUUUUCUCAAGUUUGUGCCAAGAUAAGCUAUUUUCUAAUGAUUAUGAGCCAUUUUCUAGUGAUUUUCUUUUUUUAUUGUUACACUGUCUUCGUUUCCUUACCUGAGUGCCAUGAAUUGUAUGUGAUGUGUGCAGUGAUCUCUGUACUUUUAUUCUGGAAUACUUUGCUUCCUUUGCUGAACACUAAAUGUGAACAUUCGCAGGUCUGUGCUCGUCAUAAAUGGUAAUGGUGCUGAUGUUGCAAAGCAUUGUGUUCCAGCGGUACCAUCCAAAAGGUUAUAUUUGUAUGUUGCUUUAUUUUUCUGAACUUGAUUUGUUCACCUCUGACAUUAUGCUGGAACUCUGAUUGAUAUACAGGAUAUCCAUUACCUUCAGAAAAAUGGAUCCUGCAAAGCGUCCAUUCAGUUUCAAGGAUGAUCCUGAACUGCUGAACAUUACUCCUCUCGAAGCACCAGCUGCACCCGAAACCAGCAGAUCCUCAGAUGAAGGCAAGGGGAAGCAGCUUGAUGUACAAACUCGGGAUCCGGGCAGCAGAUCAUCCAGAAGCAGGAAAUCCAAAGGAAGAACGACACCUGCUGGAAAGACUGGAUGGGGCGGCAUUCUUGGAGACCAACCUCCACAGCACCCACAGAGCCCUGCCUCCAGUGUGAGCUCUGACAGAGAGAGGGACUCCAUUGGGAGGUCGAGAGAGCCAAGAUAUCCACCAAGUUCUGACAGAGAAAGGGACUCCACUGAGAGGUUGAGGGAGCCAAGAUAUCCGCGUGACGCGCCAUCCCAUGGGGAGGACCUCAGAGACCGGCUGAACAGGCUGCCUCAUGAGAGGACGUCUGGCAGCGGCGUGUUAUUCGUCAACAAUGGUGCGGACUCUCAGGCCAGGGGGCAACGGAUGGAGCACAGGCAGCUACAGAUGAUCAAUCGCACCAUCAACGAUGACAUGGACUCCCUCUCCUUCGGGAGCCAUGAGCCCUCCGACCAGCCCCGCGUGAGCGUGCGGACCAUACACAACAGACCAAGGACUAGAAUAAAUCUGGGUUGGUAGCCAGCCAUACCACGUGUGACUGGUCGUGUCUGUACUCAAAAUCUUCGGAGGCAAUGUCGGAAAAGUUUACCGAUACCUGGAAACUGGAAAGGGGAAGUUGUGAUGUACAUUUCAGGAAUUGAAUUCACUGAUAGAUACUACUGUAGUCAGGAGCCUAUUGUGUAGAUAAUCAGAGCUGUUAUUUUUCCUGGAAUGCUGUAAUUGUGUCUUGGUGUGGAUGAUGCGUUGCUUUGGUGGGAUUAUUGAUGACUGAAUAAUAUUGGCUGGGUGUAGGGCAGGAGUUUUUCCUGGAAUUAACAUGCUGUGAUUGUGUCUCGAGUAACAUUUUCCUCUUUAUAUUUGGAAAGAGAGAGCAGUAACAUUAUGCUCGUUGUGAAUUUCAUUAUUCCACUGCUUUGGUUUGCAGCCUUGCGGGGGGAGAUAGUGCACAUGGUUUUUGUUUCUUCCUUUUAUGCCUAGAAGGAUUUAUGAGAUUUGGAACUUUGCAAAAGCAAAGUCAAGAUAGUAUCUAUCAGCAUGAAGAUUUGUAGUAUAGCUUAUAAGGUGACAGUUUUGACCAUAAUAUUUUCCAUUAUCUAAGGAAACUACUCACUCUGAUCCUACUCAAAGUUGUACUAAAGCAGCGACAAUAGUAUGGACUGGAGGGAAUACCAUAAUUCUUCAUGUGGUUCAUGUCAAGAUCAGAUGGAGAAAUGGAGUCCCGCCUUGUCUUUGUGGAUCAGCAAUUUAAGUGUUGUUUUGCGUGGUUGAGAACUGGACGUUGCUUACUAUACUAGAGAGACUUUUAGUUUGGUGAUUUUUGGCGAAGCAUAUAUAAGAUGUCAGAGGAUUAUGUCCAUGCUUGUGAGGCUUCGAGUUUGCAAAAGUCAAGAUAGUAUUUUCUGCACAUUCAGAUUUUCGAUGAACUGAAUUCAUUUAUAUUUUACAGUGUUCAAUCUGCAAAACAAAGUUUUUUCUUUACAUUCAGAUGAACUGAAUUCAUUUAGAUUUUACAGUAUUCAGGUGUACAAGAAAAAAGAAAAGAAAUGGAGAACUGAAUUCAUUUAGAUUUUACAGUAUUCUGGUGUACAAGAAAAAAGAAAAGAAAUGGAGAAGUGGGGUAUCGAUCCCCAUACCUCUCGCAUGCUAAGCGAGCGCUCUACCAUCUGAGCUACAUCCCCAUUGCGUGCAAAGUUCAAUGCGAAGUUCUCCUAUAGCUUCCUCCUCCUUGUAACUCCCUGCUCUUUACAUCGAGAUGUCUUUCAUCGGGCAUAUACAUAUUUGGGAAUCUGAUAUUGUCUCUGAUUAUUACUAGUGGCAAGUAAUUUGAACGCUACCAGGGUUGGGUUUAGGAAUAAGUUACAAACUUUGUUUUUAUGGGAGAAAGGAGACUGGUACUUUGGUGAUAUGAUCUUGGAAGUGUUGGGUCUUUCUUUCCUUCUGCUUUUGUGAUCAGCAGGACGGAGCCUUUUUUUUUUUUUUUUGCCUUUUUCUCUUUGUGUUCAACCGAUUUUCUGCUGGCAUUUAGCGCCGUCGUUAGAUUGCUAUGAUUUGACCGAUGUAUUGUGUUUUGUUUUGCAUUUCUCUGCCAGGAAAUGGUGCUGUUUGUCCUGUUGAGAAUUGGAGUCCUGCCUCGUCUUUUCUAGUAUGUGAAUCAGCAAUUUCAGUGAUGCUUCUCUGGUUGUUUACAUCAGAACAAAUGCUGAUAUUUGGUGAAGCAUUAGAUGACCGCAGUUCAACAUCGACCAUUCGUUCAGGAAUGUUCUACACUUUAGGAACUGAUUUUUUUUUAAUCCUGGAAUGCUGCAACUGUAUCUUGACAUGGAUGCUGCAUUGCCGUGAUUGAUUUGACUGAUUUUUUCUGGGACAAUCAAUUGACUGAAUAAAUUUGGUUGGGUGUAGAGCAGAACAUAUAGAUAAUGUCUUUCUUCCUUUCUGGAAUGCUGUAGCUGUGUCUCGGAGUAACAUUUUGCUAUCUCUUUUUCCACAAAAAGGAUGGUACCAAAAUCAUGGUCACAUUUUUUGUUAUUGGCGUUAUUAUUAGUAUUGCACUGGUUUGGUUUGCAGCACAUAUUCCACCCAUGCUUGUGAGAUUGGAGGUUUGCAAAAGUGAAGUCAAGAUAGUGCUUUCAUACAGUAUAUUCCAAAAAACAAAACAAAAAAGAGUGGGUAAGAAUAAGUUAUGAAAUUUGGUUGAUUGACUUUCACCAUUUCUUUCCUGCUGCUGUUUCUGUGACCAUGUAUCUUCUUCAACAUGUUAUGGUCUGCUGGAAGGCUGGUGUUAGACGGCGUUAAUUUUCCCUAAGGAUGAUGUUGCAUGUUUCUUGUGUUGUUAUAGUUUACCAAAAAAAAAGAAGGAUCACUUCACCAGGUAAAUGUGCUAAUUCAGUUUUUCGAUGAACUGAAUUCAUUUAGAUUUUACAGUAUUCAAUCUGCAAAACAAAGUAUUUUCUUUUACAUUCAGGUGAACUGAAUUCAUUUAGAUUUUACAGUAUUCAGGUGUACAAUUUUUUUUUAAGAAAUGGNNNNNNNNNNNNNNNNNNNNNNNNNNNNNNNNNNNNNNNNNNNNNNNNNNNNNNNNNNNNNNNNNNNNNNNNNNNNNNNNNNNNNNNNNNNNNNNNNNNNNNNNNNNNNNNNNNNNNNNNNNNNNNNNNNNNNNNNNNNNNNNNNNNNNNNNNNNNNNNNNNNNNNNNNNNNNNNNNNNNNNNNNNNNNNNNNNNNNNNNNNNNNNNNNNNNNNNNNNNNNNNNNNNNNNNNNNNNNNNNNNNNNNNNNNNNNNNNNNNNNNNNNNNNNNNNNNNNNNNNNNNNNNNNNNNNNNNUGCAGAAAAGCAAAAAGAAAAGUUGGAGAACUGAAUUCAUUUAGAUUUUACAGUAUUCAGAUCUGCAAAAAACAGAAAAAACACAAGUGAUGGAGAAGUGGGGUAUCGAUCCCCAUACCUCUCGCAUGCUAAGCGAGCGCUCUACCAUCUAAGCUACAUCCCCUUUUCUGUUUAAUGAUGUUAAUUCUGGAAUAUACUUUACUACUUCCUCUGUUCCUAAAUGUUGGCUUACAUUAUCUGGUGGCGACGCACAUGAGUAAUACAAGUGUCUCGUUCAUUCAGUUCCCUUUUGAUCUCCAGAAUCAAGAACGAUCGAGUUUAUUGAUCUAUCAACUUCCUUGUCUCUCAGCACGAUUAACGGCGUCGAGGCAGUCCGAUUCAACAACCAUGCGCAAGCACUCCAUUAAUUGUAGAGGUAGAGAAACACCUUCAGAGAUAGCGCUCGGUUCUGACUCAAGAGCAUCCUGACAUUUGAUUAUGUUCAACAUGCCGUCCUGCCAAGAUACUAGCACCAUCAAAAUCUCUUAGCAGCAUUCCAGCUAGCUGCAGCCAAGCCAUCAGCGACAAGCCGACAAGAUAGGAACCAUCCGUCUUCUUCAGUUUAACCUAGUCGAUGUCCAACCCUCAAAGAAAAAAACAAACCUAGCCGAUGUCCGGUGCUUUCCAGUUCGAACCUUUUUUUUCGAAAAGGAGGCAUCGCCCCAGCCUCUGCAUCGAGUGAUGCAUGCAACCCUUUAUUAAAAACCGGAAUAAUCCAAAGCAAGUACAGAGUCUAACGAUAAUCCGUGAGCAGAAAUUACAAGGCGAUCAACGCCCAAAUGAAAAGAUAUAAAUAGGUGAAGUUGGCUAACUCCCUAUUCUAUCAGCAUGUCGCCAUCCAUAUCGGCUGAAGAUAGCCUGAGCUACCAUCUCCCAUCGGGCACACCCAGUAACCAAAGGCUCCCUGGUUUCCACAGGAGUGAGUAAGGACCACAUGCGGAUCAAGGCGGUAGUCCUGAAGAUGACCUGCAGAAAAUUAAUACAAUGUUUUCUGUUAAAAACGAGGUCAUUUCUACAGUUCCAUAUAGCCCACAAAAGUGCGGAUAUUCCAACUCAAAUUAGUUUGGCUAAACGAACAUUAACCCCGUCCAGCCAUGUCCCAAAUAACAUGUUAAUGCUAGUAGGCGGGGUGAUGUUAAAGGCAAUAUGGAUUGAGCGCCAUAAGAGUUUAGCCAUAGGGUAGUCUAGAAAGAGGUGUUUAAUUGUUUCAGACGACUGACAGAAGCUACACCUUCGAUUUCCCUUCCACUUUCGCUUGGCUAAGUUAUCCUUAGUUAAAACAACACCUUUGUGAACAAACCACAAAAAUAUUUUUAACUUAAGUGGCACUUUAACGUUCCAAAUAUGCGAAGAUUUUGGAAUAGGUGUAUUGUCAAUAAUAUGGUCAUACAUUGAUUUCAGUGAGAAUGUACCAUUGGAGGUCAGUCUCCAAGUAAUACAAUCAGGAACAUCAGUAAGACUAACAUCCAUUAGCCUUCUGACUAGAUGUAGCCAUCUACCCCAUCUAUUGCCAACUAAGGAUCUCCGAAACUGGAUGUUAAGAGGAGUCUCACGUAACACUAUACCGCAACACACGUCUGUCUGCGCUGGGCAAUAUUAUACAGCUGCGGAUAUUGUAUAGCUAGUGGCACGUCCCCUAGCCAACUAUCCUCCCAGAAUCUAGUAGAUUCACCAUUACCUAUGAUGAAUUUAGUCCUGUUAAAAAAAGCCGUUUUAGUCCUCAUUAGACCUUUCCAAAAAGGUGAAUCUCCCGGUCUCAAAGUGACCUGAGCUAAGGUUUUUUGCUGUAGGUACUUGUUCUUCAGAAUUUGUACCCACAUACCUUCUGAUUCCACAGAGAGCCUGAAAAGCCACUUGCUGAGCAGGCACCUGUUCUUAACCUCUAAAUUUUCAAUCCCCAACCCUCCCUGAUCCUUUGGCCUACAAAUAAUAUCCCAUCUAGCCAGCCUAUACUUGGUCUUGAUCUCAUCACUUUGCCAGAAAAAUCGUGAUCGGUAAAAAUCCAACCUUUUUCGCACCCCUACCGGUACUUCAAAAAAGGAUAGGAGGAACAUUGGCAUGCUUGUCAACACCGAGUUAACUAAAACCAAUCGUCCUCCAUAGGAUAGUAGCUUGCCUUUCCAGUAGCUCAAUUGUUUCUCAAACCGAUCCUCUAUGCACUUCCAGUCCUUAAUAGUUAAUUUUCGGUGGUGAAUAGGGAUCCCUAAGUACGUAAACGGCAACGUACCACCUUCACAACCAAAGAGUUGAUUAUAUGUGAGCUGUUCUGCUUUGGCGUCCCCAAAACAGAAGAGCUCACUUUUGUGGAAGUUAAUCUUCAGCCCAGAUAGCUGUUCGAAUAAGCAUAAAAUUAGCUUCAUAUUUCUGGCUUUUUUGAGAUCGUGUUCCAUGAAAAGGAUUGUGUCAUCCGCAUAUUGUAGGAUGGAGACCCCCCCAUCUACUAGGUGUGGCACUAAUCCCCGUACUAACCCUUUGUUAGUAGCCCUCCUGAUCAUUAGCGCUAACAUAUCUGCUACAAUGUUGAAUAAAAUAGGUGACAUAGGAUCUCCUUGCCUAAGUCCCUUGAGUGUCUGAAAGAAAUGACGUACAUCAUCAUUAACUUUAAUACCGACACUACCCUUUUGUAUAAAACAAUUGAUAUGUUUUCGCCAAAUCUCGCCAAACCCCUUCAUACGAAGAGUUUGUUGCAAGAAAUACCAUUUGACCUUAUCAUAAGCCUUUUCGAAGUCUACCUUAAAAAGUACUCCGUUAAGCUUCUUGGAGUGCAAUUCGUGCAGGGUUUCAUGCAGCACGACCACUCCUUCAAGAAUGUUCCGACCAGGCAUAAAGGCUGUCUGCGAAGAUUGCACCACAGAAUGUGCCAUCUUGGUUAGCCUGUCCGUUCCCACCUUUGUGAAAAUUUUGAAGCUAACAUUGAGCAGACAUAUGGGGCGAAAUUGUUCAAUACCCGAAGCACCCUCUUUCUUUGGUAACAACGUAAUCGUACCAAAAUUAAGAUGAAAGAGUUGUAAGUGCCCGGAAAACAGAUCGUGAAACAUAGACAUGAGAUCAUCCUUAAUGAUAUGCCAACAUUUCUUAUAGAACUCAGCUGGGAACCCAUCUGGCCCCGGUGCUUUACCAUUCUUCAUACCCUGAAUCGCUUGUAACACCUCUUUCUCUAGGAAUGGUGCGGAAAGACACUCGUUGUCGGACUGUCCGACCUGAGGAAUAUCCGCGAUCUGAUGCUCGUCCAUAGACACAAAACUAUGAGCCGGAGCACCAAACAACCGUUUAUAAUAAUUUGUGAUGUACAAUUUUAGAUUCUCAUGACCUACUAUUGUACCCUCAUCUUGUUCUAGUUGUAUUAUCCUCUUUUUCCGAUGCUUUCCAUUUGCAAUCAAGUGGAAAUUUUUUGUGUUGUCAUCCCCUUGGACAAUAGCCCUAACUUUAGCUCUAAGAGCCCAUUUCAUUUCCUCUUCUCGAAGAAGGAUCCAAACUCUUUGUUCAGCAUCAUACUUGAAAGACCUCUCGUGUUCAUCUAGCAAACGAGUUUCUGCCUGACGAUCCAGAGUUUCUAUAAAUUGGAGCAGUCUAUCUUGCUCGUCUUUAUAAACCCCAGAGAUAUUCUUAGCCCAACCUCUCAAGAAUUGUCUAAGAUGUCGAAUUUUACUUUGCCAUCUAUCAACACUAGACUUCCCUCCCCCCACAUCCUUGUUCCAUUCCCUAGCAAUCAUGUCCACAAACCCCUCACGUGUGAACCAACUGGAUUCAAAAGAGAAAGCAUCUUUUUCCCUUUGUGAGUGGCCUGGCCAGAAUCUAGUAGGAGUGGGGUAUGGUCAGAUAUAGCCCUUUGAAGUGCACAAACCGUGACUAGCGGGAAUUUUUGUUCCCAGUCAACACUAGUAAGUACCCUGUCCAAUUUUUCAAAUGUUUGAUUAUGUAGAGAGUUAACCCAAGUAUAUUUCCUCCCUGAGAGAUCAAUCUCCCGUAGGUUCAGGCUCUCUAUAAUUGUAUUGAACAUAAAGGGCCAUCUGCCAUCAAAGUUAUUAUUGUUCUUCUCAUCAGCUCUCCUGAUAAUAUUGAAAUCACCACCUACCACAAGUGGUAGGGUGUCAUCGCAAAUUCGAACUAAAUCAGCAAGAAACGCACGCUUUUGCUCUGUUUGUGCGGCCCCAUAAACCGCAACAAGAGCCCAUUGGAACCCAUCUUCCUUGGUUCUGAUUCGAAAUUUGACCGAAAACUCCCCGAGCACCACUUCUCGAACUUGGAGUGUAUGACAACGGACACCAAGUAAGAUCCCUCUGGACCUUCCUCUUGGAGGGAGACAAUGCCAAUCAAAUUCAGCGCCUCCUGAAAGAGAGUUGAGAAAUUGCGAUGUGAAAUUAUCCCGUCCAGUCUCCAUCAACGCGAUGAAGUCUAGACUAUGCUAUAACGUUGUUUCCGCAAUGAACCAAAUUUUAGCCAAGUCUCUCAGACCUCUGCUAUUCCAGAACAUUCCUUUCAUAUCUCAUCGUAGAAUUUUUUAGCAGUCUUGAAUCUCGCGCUCCUGCGUAUAGCAGAAACCGAAUACACCCUCCUCUUAUAAGUUCGUUUAGGCUUUUCAAUAGCAUACUCAUGGUCCAUAUAACCAAUCGUAUCUUUGCCCUCAUCAUUAUGUGUACCAUUGGGUUGCUGGUUAUGAUGCAAAAACUCGUGUGAGUCCUCACCAUCCUCAGGCGAGGCUAAAUUUUCACAUAGUAAAUUCAGGCCCCCCAUAUUAGAUAUGGCCUCAUCAUUCAUUGGUUUAAUGGCAGCUAUGUUGCGAAUAAUAUCCAACGCCCUAUCAACUUCUAAGUCCAAUAAAUCAUUAAUAGAUUUGGAAACCUCCUUGCUCGUACUACCCAAGUUAACCCCCACAGCGGUAGCAUUAUCUAUAAUGUCUUGCGGAGAAAAAUGAAGAAUGGAAUGCUCAGUAUUAAUAGACAUACCUGUCGUAUUCUGAACCUCUUUCAUUUUGGCCGCCCGCAUAGCCCGCCCAAUCUGCAAGUCAUCCACAUCCGGCUGAGACUCCACUCGUUGACUAGUCCGUCUCUCCGGACCCAUCAGAUUUGGGACACCUCCAAACGUUAUGACAUCAUCAAUAGAGAUUGUAGCUGGCUGCGGUGAAACAACUGUCAGAGAGUUAACUUCCUGUUCCACCGUGCUGUCAUCCUUAGCAUCACCAGUGACGGCACCCAACUAAACACCGCUACCGAGUGGCGCAAAAUCCAGGCCUGCAUGCGCACCGCCAUGCACCCACCGAUCAUCGGCGACAACCCCAGCAGCAGUCUCGGCUGUGAAAGGUGCAGGAGGAUCCUGACUUGACGCAGCAGGGAGUGGGUCGUCACCCAUGCACGCCCCACCUCCGAACUGAUUCGCGGCGGAUACAACAGCGGGUGUACCGGCCGGCAUCGGUGCACCAACACCUACCACUGAUUGCACCGGCGCUCCAGCAACCGGUGAAACAUCAGCAUCCCCAACCCCAGCGGAUGGGCACACUGGUACAGCCUCCAAAUCUGAAUUAAAGUCCCUGUUUGGUCUCUAACCUUUGCCUCUGCCAGGUAUGUGCCCAAGGAAAUUGGUUGCAGCUUAUUCGUGGACUGCAUAAUACCACUAUUGCUCCUAGGCUUCUUACCUAGGAACCUCGGCAGCUUGGUCCUCGAGUAAAGAUCCUUGCGCAUUGACCGACAAAAUUGUGCCGGCGCAGAAGCAGGCUCAAAAGAACCAAACCGCAAUUCAAGAUCAGAUACAACAGCCAAUUGCUUAGUACCAGUACCUGAGGGUUGUAAAGACUGAGCGGGUUGUGAAUGCGUAGUCUUGUGAGAAGAGAACUUGGGCCCUGAAUCAAAAUCAGCAUCCGUGUUAUCAUUGGCUCCAUCCGCAUCAUCCCCAUUAGUCAUAUUAGUAUCCUUAUCCAUGCCCGGUACAUCGAAGAGAGUAGGACUCUCAAUCUCCACCUGGAGAGUGUAUCUCAUCCCCUCAUAAGUCCACAUGACCUCGUCUGGAAUGAUUUGAAUAUCUAGCACGCUCACCAGCAUCCUUGCGAUGCCUUUGGUUCUAGUAAACACCAUAUCCACCUCCUCUGUUUUACCAAUAAGCUAGCCCAAACUCCAAACAACUCUAAAGUCGUUAAUGGCCCUGGAAGGAGCACCCGCAAAGUGAACCCAAAUCUGCGGUAGCGGAACCCCCUUGGGCUCCUCACACUUCCAGGCAUCGAACUCAAGUACACAGCUUGUGCUAGCCACUCUACACAUACCGAACUUAAGUAAACGAGCCAAAUCCUCCUUAAUAGGGAAGACAACCUUAAAGACAUUAUCUGAAAUCAGCACCGGUUCCCACUUGAAAGUUGAUGAUACAAGCUCCUUGAGCUGUUGUACCACCUGCUCCACGGUCAGCAUUCCCCGAGUCACCGUCACCGUGCCCGUGAAACCAACAUCUGGAGUAUGCAGUGUCGCUGUCGCCGCUGGUGACUCGAAGAACAUUAAUUCUUGACUCGAUACACCAUAAAUGGUCACCACCGGCAUACUCCCAAUCGUAAGGGGCACUUAGUUGUACCAUGCGUCUGCUUAAGACAAUACACACAGAGCUCAGCCUUGCAUUCAGAAACAAAGUGUCCAACCUCGCUACAUCGAUAGCACACCAUCUUCUCUUUCUUACGUGCCCACUUGGAAGGUCGGUCACCUCCAUCUCCUUUUGCUACCCCAACAUUUUGUUCAGCUACAGGGUCGGCUGCCUCCUUCACAGGCUCAGGCCCAUCCGCCUUAAUAGGGACAACAGUCUCUGUCUGCAACUCUUGAGCCGGCAUAGGAGGCCUUGGCUUCCUACCUCCCCCUCUGGCUGCCCAAUUCUGUCGGAAUCCACCUCUCUUGUGAUGAGAAGGUCCCGACGUCCCCGACACAAAAUUUCCGGAUGGUGCGCAAAAACCCUGGUUGGUACCUCCAUUGGUAGUAGGCGCAUGACCGCGUCCAGCUCCAUAAGAAGAUGAUCCGCGAUGACCAUCUCCAUAUGUGUUAUUACCAUCGUUGCCCCAUCUUCCUCGCUGAUGACCCCUCUGAUCUCCUUGUUCUCCUGCGUGAUUGGCUGGAACAGGUGGGCUCCCUGCCUGCGCCCCGCCAUGCCCAACAGUAACUGGCUUGGCGAUGGGGCGUUCCCCCUGUCCUGGCGGUCUGGGCUGCGAGGCCGGUGGCUGCCUGGGAGCGCCCCUGCCCGCCAUAUCUCUUCCACCAGAGGAAGGAGGCGGUACCCUCGCAGCUCUUCCAGUUCGAACCUAUGAUCACUAGUUAUAAUAUUCUAAGUGCUGCUAGCUGGGGUCUUUUCUUUACCGCUGCUUCUAUGAUCACCAGGAUUUGUGUUGGCCGGCGUUAUGUUUCAUGUCUUUUGUGUUCUUGUUCAUCAUGGUGGGACCUGGUCUUGUCCCUUUUCAUAUUUAUCUGGUUGAAGAUUUGUAGCUUACAUGGUGACAGUAGGGAUAUAAAUGAUACAGAUAAUUUUCAUUCCGAAUCCGCUUUCGCAUCUAAUUUUAAAGAUAUGGUAUGCGCUUACACAAAUCUGACGGAUAUGGAUGCUGAUACGAAUUUUGGUCAGCGGAUAUGGUAUUGGUAAUAUCCGGCGGAUAUGGAUUAUCCGAUCAUUUUUGCGAAUUAUUCGAGGUUGUCAAAUAGGAUUAUCCGAUAAAUUUAGUCCAAUUAAGAAGCCUAAAUGCUCACGUGCGUCAGUAGUAUGUACUUCCUCUGUACCUAAAUAAUUGUAGUUGGGGAGAACUAGAGGGUGUUUGUUUAUAGGGACUUAUUGGUUUUGGGACUUAAAAAAGUCCCUGUAAGUCCACCUAAACCAAACAGAAGGAACUUAUUGGGACUUAUAGUAGUCAUUUGGGACUUAUCAAAAAAGACUCUCAGGGAGGAACUAAUUGGGACUUAUCGCGGCCCGCACCUAGCCCGCCUCGCUCCGCCUGGCUCUUUCCCCUCGUCGCCCCGCUUCGGUCCAAUCGCCGCCGCCCUGCGCCGCUCCAGUCGCCAUCGCCCGCGUCGAUCCAACCGCCCGAAUCGCCGCCCCCGCGUCGCUCCUUCCAGCCGCCCCCGCCUCGAUCCGUUCCCCGUCGCUGCAGUCCCCGCCUCGCUCCGUUCCAGCCGCCCUAGCCUCGCUCCGUUCUAGCCGCCCCAAUCGCCGCCCCCGCGUCGCUCCUUCCAGUCGCCCCCGCCUCGGUCCGUUGCGCGUCGCUGCAGUCCCCGCCUCGGCCCGCGUCCCAGGUCACCGCGCCAUGGCUGAUGACGAUCCCCGCCGCGUCCCAGGUCACCGCACCAUGGCUGAUGAUGAGGAGGAGCAGAUGCCUUUUUUCUCCCAGCAGGGCCGGGCCGGCAAAAUCCGGGCUCUGUGUGGAACGAAAAAAUGAGGCCCUAUCUCACAAAAAUAUGAACUAACGAGCAAUUAUAAUGUAUAUAUGUCUCGCAGAAAAAAUUAUAAUGUAUAUAAUAUAAUAUCUUACAUGAAAAUUGGACAUGUAAAAAAGUUAUACCUAUGCAACUCCCGAUUGCUAUUUAUUUGAACAUCCUCAUUCUUGCGGUAUUCUUCGAAAUAAAAUCUUCAAUGAUAUCCUCGUAAUCAAUCUUCUCCAAGACUUCACUCUCAAGUGCUAUUGUGGCCAAAUCAUUGAGUCUUUGUUGUGUCAUAGUAGUACGCAUAUAGGACUUCUGUGACGCCCUCGGCUUAAUCGUACGCUAACCAUACACGCAAAUGCGUACGAUCAAACCCAAGGACUCACGGGAGGAUAUCACAACACAACUCUAGACACAAAUAAAAUAACAUCAGCUUCAUAUUACAAGCCAGGGGUCUCGAGGGCUAGAAUACGAAAGCUCGAUAAACACACGAGUCAGCGGAAGCAACAAAUAUCUGAGUACAGACAUAAAACAUGGGGUGCCUUAGAGAAGGCUAGCACAAAAGAUACAACGAUCGAACGAGGCGAGGCCUCCUGCCUGGGAACCUCCUAACUACUCCUGAUCAUCAGCGGCCUCCACGUAGUAGUAGGCACCGUCGGGGUAGCAGUCGUCGGUGGCGGGGACCUCCAUCUCCUGGGCUCCAUCAUCUGGUCGUAGCAAACGGAUCAAGGGGACAAGGGGGGAGCAAAGCAGCGGUGAGUACUCAUCCAAAGUACUCGCAAGUCUUACAUCAGAACUAUUCUAAUUAUGCAUCAGUAUCAAAGAAGGGGGGGGGGUGUAUAUGUGGACUGACUACAGCAAUGCGAGAACAGAGAGAGAAGGCCUAGUCCUAUCGAAGACUAGCAUCUUCAUGGUCUUGCAGCAAUAGACGAGAGUAGAACAUGGGGGGGGGGGUAACACGAUACAUAGUCAUAUUGUUGCAGCAAUAUUAAAGUGAGGUCACGCCUAAAGAUCCUCCCUCGACUCCCUGCGAGGAAGCAAUCCCGAGGCAAACUAAUUCCAGUUAAGUAACAAUUGUAGUUGUAAAAGAUCGGGGCACAACUCCAAGUUGUCCUGUAACCGUGGACACGGCUAUCCGAAUAGUUAAUUUUCAUCCCUGCAGGGGUGCACCACAUGUCCCGUCACGCUCGAUAACACUCUGGCCGGACAUACUUUUCUGGGUCCUGCCCGGCCUCGGAAUAUCGACACGUCGCAGCCCCACCUAAGACUAAUCAGAGAGGCCAGCCCGCCGGUCUAAAUCCUAAGCACAAAGGGUUCAUGGGCCCAGUUCCCCUUCACGUUCCUGCACAUGGCGUGGGCGGCCGACGUCAGUCCUAGCAUCCCUUAAUCACAAGCGCGAUGCAUCUCGGGACCACUCGGGCGCGCGCCGCUACAUUGCUGGCAUCUGAAAAGCUUCGGCUGAUACCGCGACGCCGAGUACCCAUAAUUCUUCCCGCGUAGCCGGUUAGUGCCAAAAGGUCUCCGACCAACCCAGAUCAAAUACCCAAAUCCAUUAGCAUUUUAAUUAGGCCAACAACACAGUCUCACGGGAAUCCACCCGUCUUACAACUAAGCACCAAUGAUCCCAGUAACAUGGUCGAGUAACUGUGUGGUUGUAACAUCGGGGGGAAUCCGAGGUAUCACCCUCGUUGGAUUCCGAACGAUGUACCCGUCAAGGUGGGCUUAGAGGAAUCACCCUCGGGGGUCCCACACUCGCGGGGUUGCACGACAGAGGCGUCAUCGGGAAUGGUGAAAGAGGAAUCACCCUCGAUAACCUCGACCGACUAGCUAUACUACAGAGAUAUCAUCAGGAGUACUUAGCGAGGUGUCACCCUCGGUACCCGAUAGUAUCUCUGUAGCGUCGUACAACGAAGGGGGUGAAUGUGCUGUGUCGGGUCUGGCUCGUCGAUCAGAGAUCGAGAUUGAAAAACAAGCGGGGCAACUGAACUACGGGGUCAGAGGGGAUGACUGCUCCACCUAUACUAAGCAUAUUUAAAGUACAUGACUGAAAGUAGCAGUUCAUCAAAAAUAGGCUAUGCAUCAGAUAUAGGAGCUAAUUACAACAGUAGCAAAAUACUAAUGCAAGCAGUAGGAAGAAAGACAUAGGCGAUAUAGGAAUGAUCAAGGGGAGUUUGCUUGCCUUGCUGCUCUGCGGCAAAGGACUGAUCGGCAGGGUCGUAGAUGUACCCGGCAGCAGCGUCAGUCUCGGGGUCUACCGGUAAGAAGAGGGGGAAAAACAAUAAAUAAUAGCACCGAUGCAACACAAAGCAUGACAUGACAAGAUGCAGGCUAGACAUGAGCUAACGCAGCAACAUCCGUCAUAGACGGGUCGGAAGAAUAUCUGACGAUAUUUUCCCGGGUCUCGGGUUACUACGGGUUAUACUGGAAACGAUGGAAAAGUUCCAUGUUUGCUAUGCUAGGGACGCGUGACAGACGAAUGGACCGUGUAUCCGGGUUCGUCUCGUUUUGCUGAUCAACUUUCAUGUUGAAAAUAUUUCGAUCUGACUUACGGAUUAUUUUAUAUUAAUUUUCAAAGUUUUAUUAAUUAUUUAGGAAUUAAAAACAGAUUUAGCUAUUUUAAUAAAAUUCCAUUAUGACAUCAUCGCGAUGUCAUGCUGACAUCAACAUUUGACUGGUCAACUGACCAGUGGGUCCCGAACGUCAUAGGCACAAGUUUUAAUAUCGAUUAAAUAUUGAUUUAAUCAGAUUAAUUUAAUGAGAGACCCACGUGGCAUUCUCUCAUUAGGUUAAUUAAUUAUUCUAAUUAACAGAUUAACUUAUAUAUUUAUUUGACUAAUUCAUUAACUCAUUAAUUAAUUAUUAUAUCUAUUUAUUUAUUUAUUUAAUAAAAACAUUAUUUUUAUUUUAUAUUAUCUAUCGCGUGGGGCCUCCCUGUCAUAGACAGCGGGUGCGUUGGCCCCACCGGUAAGUGACCCUAGGCCAUUUACUCAUUUCAUUAAUCACAAAUACAUAACCAUACACAUGUCAUAUUUCUCCACAUGCCUAUAUACGCAAAUACAUACAUAAAUACGGGUAUCAAAUACAUACAUACAUACAUACNNNNNNNNNNNNNNNNNNNNNNNNNNNNNNNNNNNNNNNNNNNNNNNNNNNNNNNNNNNNNNNNNNNNNNNNNNNNNNNNNNNNNNNNNNNNNNNNNNNNNNNNNNNNNNNNNNNNNNACAUACAUACAUACAUACGGAAUACAACAUUUGUUUUUUCUUUAUUUUCUCUCAAAACUCUCAUCUCCCUCUCUGUUAACACAGAGACAAAGAAUUCUCUCUGUGCUAACUCAACAUAGAAGAACCAAAAGUUCAAUCCUUCCUACCGGAGUCUACCGUCGACGGAUCGAGGUCCCGUUUGCCGGAACGGAACCGAGACGGCGAGGAGAAAGACAUGGUGGGAGGAGCCCGAGGAGGGGCUCACCGACGUUGACGGGAGGGGCCGGUGAAGCCGGAGUUCGCGGGAAGGGGCGGAGGAGACGGCAUGGAGGCGGACGAGGCGGUGACGGUGACGGUGACGGCGCGGUUCCGGUGGUGAUGCCGGCGAGGAGGAGCCGGCCGGAGGUUCGUCGAGAGGGGCCCCGGUGAGGAGGGGCCCCCGGAGAUGGAGCCGGACGAAGUGGGUGAGGCCGGCAAGAGGGACCUCGAGGAGGCCGGGCGCCCUGCCGGCGGGGUGGAGGCAGAGGGGGGGGGGCGGCUCGCCGGCGGGAAGGAGGAGGCCGAGGGGCUCGCCGGCCGGGAUUAGAGGGGCCGACGGGGGCCGGGGCUUGGGGCCGAGAGGGUGGAGGGGGUAGGGGAGUNNNNNNNNNNNNNNNNNNNNNNNNNNNNNNNNNNNNNNNNNNNNNNNNNNNNNNNNNNNNNNNNNNNNNNNNNNNNNNNNNNNNNNNNNNNNNNNNNNNNGGCAUCUUCAGCUUCAAAUAGACGUAACAUGGACGGGCCAUGAAACACGCAUAUGCCGGACGGCCCAGAAUCGCAUGGUAUUCACUCUGGAAGUCCACCACCUCGAAUGUCAGCUUCUCCUUGCGGAAGUUCUUGUCAGAGCCGAAGACGACAUCCAACGCAAUCUGGUCGAGUGAUUUGGCCUUUCUUCCUGGGACGACUCCGUGGAACUGCAUACUGCUCUCGCUAAGUUUGGACAUCGGAAUGCCCAUUCCCUUGAGAGUGUCGGCAUACAUGAUAUUCAAGCCGCUGCCGCCGUCCAUGAGGACUUUGCACAGCCUAACUCCUUCCACCACCGGGUCGACGACCUGAGCCUGCCUGCCUGGGGUGGGUACGUGUGCUGGGUGGUUUGACUGAUCAAAGGUGAUCGCAGUCUGUGACCACUUGAGGAACGUGGGAGUGGAUGGGGUUGCCAUGUUUACCUCCCUGUUGACCAGCUUCAGUCGACUUUUGCUUUCCACAUCAGCAAAAAUCAUCAACGUUGCAUGGACUUGGGGGAACGGAUCCUCCUUGUCCUCAUCAUCCUGCUCGGUGUCCUUCUCACUCGGCUGUCCUUCGCCGAAUCCUUGGAUCAGGAGGCGACAAUGCCGAGUGGUAUGCUUCGGCACUAUGACAUUGCCUUCUUCAUCCGUUUUCGUGUGGAUUGGACACGGUUGAUCCAGGAUGGAAUUUCCUGACUGCCUCUUCUUAGGGGUGUACUGUGCUUUCCCCUUGCCUUUGAACUUGGCAUUUGUAACGGCUGCUGCCUCUGCCUGCGGAGUGGAUUGAGCUUUCUGCUUCUGCUUCCGACUGCUGUUCCCAUCUCCAUCGGCGACUGACUUAUGCUUGCCGCUACGUAUGUGGUCCUCCUCUUCGCCAUUUGCAUAGCGCGCGGCUAUCUCCAUCAUCUUUCUCAUGGAGAUGUCGCCUGUCCAACCGAACUUCAGGUACAGAUCUCUGUACCGCACACCUGCCUUGAAGGCGCAUACUUCUUGGUGCUCUGUGACGUUCUCCACCAUGUGGUAGAGGGUCGUCCAGCGUUGGAUGAAAUCGCACAAGGGCUCGUUCUGCUUCUGGACACAGUGCUGGAGCUCUACGAGACCAGCAGGGCGUUUGCACGUACCCUCGAAGGUCCUGAUGAAGAUUCGGGACAGAUCUGCCCAGCUGUAGAUGCUUGACGGAGCUAACUGGUUCAGCCAGGCUCGCGCCGAACCGUCGGGCAUCAGUGGGAGAUGUUUCAUGGCGACAUGGUCAUCUCCGCCACCGAUCUGGACCGCCACUCUGUAGCCGUCCAACCAAGUUUCUGGUUUGGACUCUCCUGUGAACCUGCUGAUUCCCGUCGCCAAUCGGAAGUUCGGAGGGAUGUCAGCUGAGCGGAUGGCCCGACUGAAGCACUCGGGGCCAGAAACAACGGUCCUGCUUCCACUCGGACGGUCUCUAUCGUGACCAUCACGGUGGGCUCGACUUCUGUCGACCUUCUUCUGGGCGACGUACCCUCUUGCAUCAGGCCUUGGAUCAUGCGCGUCACCGCCCGAACGACGAUCAUCGUGAUGUCGGGGCCCGUAAGGCCCACCCCNNNNNNNNNNNNNNNNNNNNNNNNNNNNNNNNNNNNNNNNNNNNNNNNNNNNNNNNNNNNNNNNNNNNNNNNNNNNNNNNNNNNNNNNNNNNNNNNNNNNAAGGGGGGCUGCGACCCCAAGAGGUAAGAUGGGCUAAUUAGGGGUGGGAACCAGCCCCUAGUUGGGCUGGUGCGCCUCCCCACUCAGCCCAUGGCGCAGGGGAAAGAAAAAGAAGGGGAACCCUAACUUAGGUGGGCCUUAGGCCCACCAGAGGGGUGCGCCACCCCUCCCCCUUGCCCUGGCCGCCACCCCUCUCCCAUCUAAGGGCUGCCGCACCCCUUAGGGGUGGGAACCCUAAGGGCUGCGCCCCCUUCCCCUUCCCCUAUAUAUAGAUGAGGUUCGGGGCUGUUUGAGACACGGUUUAAUCUCUCUCUCUCUCGGCGCAGCCCUGUUCCUCUCCCUCCUCCUCUCUGCCGGCGCUUGGCGAAGCCCUGCCGGGAGACCUCGUCUCUCCACCAACACCACGCCGUCGUGUUGCUGGUCUUCUUCCCCAACCUCUCCCUCCUCCUUGCUGGAUCAAGGUGUGGGAGACGUCACCGGGCUACACGUGUGUUGAACGCGGAGGUGCCGUUGUUCGGCACUAGAUCGGAAUCGCUGCGAGUACGACUCCAUCAACCGCGUUCUAGCAACGCUUCCGCUUAGCGAUCUUCAAGGUACGAAGAUGCUCUUACCCCUCUCUCGUUGCUGGUCUCUCCAUAGGAAGAUAUGAACAUGCGUAGGAUUUUUUUUGAAUUUAUGCUACGUUACCCAACACUCUUAAAGGAAAGAAGCUCACUAUGUUUCGCAUACUUAUGGAAAUGGUGAGUAAGCACACCAAUACCAUCAAGGAACUCGAAACCCUCGUCACUGAGGAGAAGGAGAGAAAUGAACUCCUUGAGCAGAAAGUCCUGUAUGAGGAAGCAGAAAAUGAUGCAUUAUGUUCAAAAGUAGGUGAAAACCUUGAUAAACAUGCAAAUGAUCUUGCCUCCUUGAAAAAGAGUGAAAAUGUGUGCAGAGAAUUACUAAAUGAUAAAGACCGACUUGUGAACUCUCAUGCUUCUCUUUCUAAGGACUGUGAGCGUCUAUCCUUGUCUCUGAAAGACAAGGAAGAGAAACUCACUGUUCUUACAAAGAGCUUUGAGGCACUUAAGGUCACUUAUCUUGACACUCUAGCUAAGGCCUACUCCUCAUCUAUUAUCAAUGUUGAUACCUGCACUACUAAUCCUAGUAGUGAACUAACAUCUAUCCUUGAGGAAAACUAUUCGUUAAAGGCACAGCUAGACAGAGGUCUCAUGACAUGUGCACAAGGACAAAAGACUCUCAAUGAGAUCUUAAGUCGACACAAUGGAGGUUUCGCAAAGGAAGGGCUUGGGCUCAACCCAAGCACUGCCAAGAAAAGUGCAUCUCCUCUCAAGUGUACCACUCCUCUUAAGGAAAUAUUUGUACCAGAGGGACACGGGAGAAAGGUAAGGUUGUGAGUGGAUCGGCCACUAGGGGUUCGUCUACUCACAACAAGACAACCGAAUUCAUGCCGCCAUCCUAUGUACUACGCAAAUCAAAGGAAGGAGAGGUCUAUGCUAAAUUUGUUGGUCCCCGUAAUGCAUUUCGAUUCUAUGCUAUUUGGGUCCCUAAGACUCUUGUAACUAAUGUGAAAGGCCCCAUGACAAAAUGGGUACCUCAAACCAAGUCUUAAUUCGUUACAGGUUGUUUUCUCCGGUGGAGCCAAAUGGGUGAUCGAUAGUGGAUGCACCAAUCAUAUGACCGGAGAUAGUAAUUUGCUCUAUGACUUCAUGCAAGCCAUUCGACCAUAUAUGAGCAUUGUAUUUGGUGGAGGGUCGAAAGGGCAGGUAAUUGGGUUGGGCAAGGUGGCAAUCACUAAUGACAUGUCUAUUGCAAAUGUCAUGCUUGUCCAAUCUCUUCAAUACCAUUUACUUUCAGUUCGCCAAUUGGCUUCCGUCGGUUAUGACACACUAUUUGGACUAACGGAUGUGAAAGUAUUUAAGAGAGACACUCUUGAAGUGGCUUUUGUUGUAGAGUUGGAUGGCAACCUUUACACGGUUGAUUUCUCGAAAGAGAGCACUUUCCAUACAACUUGUCUAAUGGCCAAGGCCGACAUGGGAUGGCUGUGGCAUCGCCCUCGCCCAUGUUGGCAUGAAAAAUCUUCAAAAUCUCUUAAACGGCAAUCACAUUCUUGGACUAACAAAUGUAUCUUUUAAGAAAGAUCGUGUGUGCAGUGCAUGCAUAGCUGGGAAACAACAUCAAUCAAGACAUCCACCCAAGAACAUUGUAUCCACUUCGAGGCUGUUAGAGCUCCUUCAUGUGGAUUUGUUUGGGCCUCCUUCAUGGGCAAGUCUUGGAGGGAAAAAGUAUGGCCUAGUCAUUGUUGAUGAUUACUCAAGAUAUACAUGGGUGUUAUUUCUCAAGUCCAAGGACGAGACGAAGGUCACUUUCAUUGACUUUGCCAAACAAGCCCAGCGGAAGUUUGACAAGGACAUCAAGGCAGUAAGAAGUGAUAAUGGCUCUGAGUUCAAGAACUACACCCUAGAAGAAUUUCUUAGUGAUGAGGGGAUUGAACAUCAGUACUCCGCACCUUACACCCCUCAACAAAAUGGUGUGGCAGAGAGGAAGUACCGGACACUUGUGGAAAUGGCAAGGUCCAUGUUAGAUGAAUACAAGUCACCACAUAGUUUUUGGGCUGAGGCCGUCAACACAGCAUGUCAUGCAUCAAACCGGCUCUUCCUCCGAUCAAUAUUGGAGAAAACUCCAUAUGAGCUCCUAACUGGGAACAAGCCCAAUGUUAAGUACUUUCGUGUGUUUGGAUGCAAAUGCUUCAUCCUCAACAAACGGGAACGGUUAGGGAAAUUUCAAUCCAAAACAACUGAAGGGAUUUUUGUUGGCUAUGGGUCAAACUCUCACGCCUACAGAGUCUACAACAAAUCCACUGGAUGUGUUAUAGAAACCUGUGACGUGACGUUUGAUGAAUUUAACCGCUCCCAUGGGGAGCAAGUUGAUCUAAAUGAUGCAGGUGAAGAAGACUCCCCACAAGAUAUCUUAAACAUGGGUGUAGGUGCACUUCUGCCUAUGGAACAAAGACCCCAUGAUGAUGAAGAUGAUGAGAAUAUCUCGCAUCCUCAAGACAGCUCACUGCCCGUACCUCCACAAGAUAUUAGCACACACAUCAUGCCGGUUGUUGAGGAUCAAGUGGGAGAACAUGUCUCUCACCCUGAUGACACUCAAGAACAAGUUGAUCUUCAAGAGGUGGACCAAAGCAUGGGUAUGCUUGAUGAUGAACCUCAACAGGUGCAACACGAAGAGGAAUAUCUUCUCCGCAUAUAAAUGAUCCAUAUGUUGAGGACGUUGAUGAUGGAAACGAAGUGGAACCUUGUGAAACCUUGACCUCCAUCAUGCCACGUGUGGCCGGUCGUGUUGAUAUUGAUAAAAUCCUUACAGGCGUGUCGGAAGGUAGAGUGACUCGUAAACAAUUAACAAACUUUUGUGCUCACUUUUUGUUUGUCUCUAGUACCGUGCCACACAGGGUUCAGGAUGCAUUAUGUGACAAUGACUGGCUACUUGCUAUGCAAGAGGAGCUAAAUAGUUUUACACGCAACGAAGUAUGGUCAUUGGUAGAACGACCAACCGAGGAACAUAAUGUCAUUGGAACCAAAUGGAUUUUCAAGAACAAGGAAGAUGAGAACGGGACUGUCCUAUGCAACAAGGCAAGGUUAGUAGCACAGGGGUACUCCCAAGUUGAAGGUUUGGACUUUGGUGAAACCUUCGCCCCUGUUGCUCGUCUUGAGUCCAUUCGCAUUUUACUGGCCUAUGCUGCUUUCAAUGGUUUUACUUUGCAUCAAAUGGAUGCGAAAAGUGCUUUUCUUAACGGUCCUCUACAAGAAGAGGUAUAUGUAUCACAACCACCUGGGUUUGUUGACCCUCAUCACAAAGACCAUGUAUAUAAACUUCACAAGGCACUUUAUGGUCUUAAACAAGCACCCCGUGCUUGGUACGAUCAUCUUAAGAAGUUCCUACUCGAUGAUGGCUUUGUGGUGGGGGUGAUCGAUCCCACUCUUUUUACUAAGAGGGAAAAUGGUGAUUUGAUCUUAUGCCAAAUCUAUGUAGAUGACAUCAUUUUUGGUUCUCCUAACAUCCAUUUGUGCAAGAAGUUUGCGGCCUCCAUGACCAAGACCUUUGAGAUGUCACUCAACACGGACUUGAAGUUCUUUCUUGGUUUUCAAAUACAACAAUUUCAAGAAGGGAUUUUCUUGUCUCAAACUAAGUACCUCAAGGACAUUCUUGAGAAAUUUGAUAUGACAAAUGCUAAACCAAUGAAGACACCCAUGGCCAUCGAUGUAGUUCUAAAUGAAGACUCAAACGGUAUUCCUUUUGACCCAUCUACUUACCGCUCCAUGAUUGGUUCGUUGCUUUAUCUUUGCGCAUCUAGACCGGACAUCAUGUUAAGUGUAGGAAUAUGUGCUAGAUUUCAAGCUUCCCCUAUGGAAAGCCAUCACACGACGGUUAAGCAUAUUCUUAGAUACCUUGUUCACACCCCAAAGUUAGGCUUAUGGUACCCUAAGGAUGCAAAGUUUGAUCUUAUUGGGUAUUCUGAUGCGGAUUGGGCCGGUGAUAAAGUGGGACGGAAAUCCACUUCCGGUGCCUGUCAGUUUCUUAGACGCUCGUUGGUAAGUUUGUCCUCAAAGAAGCAGAACUGUGUUUCUCUCUCCACGGCCGAGGCAGAAUAUAUUGCAGCCGCAAGCUGUGCUACUCAAUUGCUAUGGAUGAGGCAAACACUAAAGGAUUAUGGUAUCACGUAUCGACACGUUCCUCUUCUCUGUGAUAAUGAAAGUGCCAUAAAGAUCUCCGUGAACCCCAUUGAUCACCCUCGCACAAAACAUAUUGAUAUUAGGUAUCAUUUCUUGAGAGACCAUGUGCAAAAGGGUGACAUUGAUAUUACCCAUGUGGGUACCGACAUGCAGUUAGCAGACAUUUUCACCAGGCCACUUAGCGUAGCUAGGUUCUGUCAACUUAGGCGUGAACUUGGUAUCUUGGAGCUUGACAACAUAUCUUGAAAUCUUGCACACAUACAUACACUCACACUAUGGUUGUGUCUUGAUGUGCGCAUAUAUUUAGGGGGAGUGCGUCGUAAUUCUAUGUGUUUUUAAGCUUACAACGUACGCAAUGCUUCUAGGAAAACAGUGUUCAUAUUUUGUUUGCAAUACCAUGCAAGUCAUCAUCAUCAAAACAAAAACUAUCAGCACUGGCCUCUCCCUUCUCCUCUUUCUCGGACGUCCGGCCACGCUCGGACGUCCGGCGGCAAAACCUCCUCCGGUCGUCCGACCUGUGUCGGUCGUCCGACGCCAGAACAACCUCCGGACGUCCGGCUCCCUCCGAACGUCCGACGCCUCGGGGCCUCUAUAUAAAGCUGGGCGCGGGGCUUGGCUUUUUCCCGAACCCCCAGCGCCCCCUUUUGCCCCAGCCGCCGCCGCCAGCUCAAGGAGCUGCUCGAGGAGCUCCUGCCCAACGCCGCCAUCCUCGAGAUCGGGCCGAUCUCCUCCGCGGAUCCCUCACCUCUAUCUCCGUAUUCUUCACGGGAUCCAACCUCAGGUCGCUCCUCCGUCUCUCUCCGCGUUGGAUUUGAUUUCUCCCAUGUAUCUCCAUGUUUCGUUCCUCAUUCGGGGAUUUUUCCUUCGCGUAGGUGUUGCGCUUCAUGGGCAAGACCAAGCACACCGCUCGGAAGACCGUGGCCGGCUCAUCCUCCCGCACCCCUAUGAACGCGCGGUCGGACUCGGAUGAGCCAAUCCAUCCUUUCAAAUGGACUGCCCGGCGUUCUCCGCCCCGGCGUUCGCCGUCUCCCUCGUCGUCUGAUGGUGCUGACCCCGACUUUGAGGAGGAGCUUGCCACCGAGGAUCUUCCUGAGCACGUCACUCGAAGGUCCAAGCCAAAGCCCGGGACUCGCAGGGCGUCCUACAUGCCACAACCUCCUCCUGCCCAGCCCGCAGGUGAAGGUCGCCACAUUUCACUAGAACCUCCUGCCACGUUAGGUCGUGCUAUCACAAAUUUCACCACAAUUGGCGCAGCUUCAUGUCUCACUUUCCGCCGCGACAUAGAUCAAUACGAGGUCGCACGUGACUCUACGGACUCACGUUUCCGCACAAACGUCCAGGCAGACAUCUUUACCACAGUCAUAGUUCAUAAGGGGUUAUCUAUUCAUCACUUUAUUGAUGUUGAGCAUAUUCGCAUGCACCCGGCGAAAUAUCCGGGUGCCAUUGAGCUUAUUGAGGCAUCAGGGCUUGCCGCCCCGUUUGCCUUUCAUUGCGACUUUAAUGCUGCUGCCAUUCACCAGUUCUAUGCCACAUGCCAUUUUGGCUCCGACAACACUGUCAGCUGGAUCACCUCUGACGUUCGCUUCGAAGCUUCUUAUGCUACAUUUGUUGCCGCACUGGGUUUCCCCAAUUCCGGUUUCAAAAUACAUAGGGAUGACCCUAACCAUGCGCCUAAGUCUAUUGAUGUGUGUGGACAUCUUCUCAAGCCACUACGUGAGCUUGAUGCGGAUGAGCGCAUGAAGGACCUUAACCAGGUAUCCAUCUGGCGCUCACCUUACUUCAUUAUUUUUCAGUGUCUCAUCCGCACCAUCUAUCCCAAGAUGGGUGAUAAGGGUUCUUGCAGUGGCUAUUGUAUCGACAUCAUGUAUCACUUGUUCGAGCACCCCAAGGGCAAAAUCAAUGUGCCCCAUUUUCUAUGGCAUGAGAUUCGGCUUGCUAGCUUUCAGUACAAGCGAGCCUUUCCUCACGCUCCUUUCAUCCAGGCACUUAUUAACCAUGUUGCUGAUUUCUCUGUGGCUGUCACUCACACCCAUCGCAAGUGGGUCAUUCCAGCUCACAUGGCGGAUGGCUUUGCUCCCAAGAAAGCCCCUUCUUCCUCCACAUCCACUCGCCGCACUGCUGCACGGGCCGCCACCCCCUCAUCUAGCUCCGCUCCCCUCGGUCGCAUUGCCAAAUUCCUUGGCAAAGCUCACUCUGCCUUGAUGAAGGCUGUCUCCUUUCAGUGUGGUCAAACCCAUGAUGUGGUUUCUCGCUUAGUUUCCUCCAAGAAUGCCCUCAAGGCUCGUCUGAGAGCCUCGGGCGCUCUUGAUGUGAGUGAUGAUGAGGCCCCUCCUGCUGCUCCUCCUACUGAUUUUGGCUUCCCGUCUGGUCCUGAGUGGUCUGAGUUCUUUGACGAGGCUGGGGGCAGUGGCUUGGCUGAUGAUGAUGAUGAUGGUGAUGAGCUUUGAGUUUGAUUGGUUCUGUUGACGACUCCCUUUUUGGUACUUGGUGCCAAAGGGGGAGUAAUGUAUCGUAGUUAAAUUUUUAUUAUCGUCAUUUUUAGUCUUUGGAAAUUUAAUGUAAUGGAUAAAAAUCAUGUAUGGCUACUUAUGAAUGGUUGUGACUCGCUAUGAUAUCAUCAUUUUCCUUAUUUCUAUAAUGAUUUAUUAUCCUUCCAUGUUGAUCCAUUGGAGCUUCAAUUUCUUUAUCAUGCAUAUCUUAAGGGGGAGCUCCGUACUAAAUAUCUCCUAGACUAUAAUGUAUGUUUAAUCUUUUUGAGACCUAUGUAUAUGUUGUCAUCAACUACCAAAAAGGGGGAGAUUGAAAGUGCAUGCUAUGCCCCUAAUCGUCUUUUGGUGUUAAUGACAACACAUACAUAGGAAACGAAUCCUAUUUGUUGAGUAUAUCUCAGGGCGGCAAGUACUUUAAGUAGAUUGAGAUUUAUGUGCCAAAGGUUUUCUGGAAAGAUUGGUGAUUUAUAUUUCUAGAAGGCUCGGGAUUAAGAAGAGAUGAUGAAGACUAGUCUUUUUAGUUUACUGAUACUGAGUAUAGGGAUCCCGCACUAUUAAGAGGGGAUCACAGGUUCUGCGAUAAACUUGCUCAUACUACAUCUCUACUAUCAUACCAAACACCACAUACUAUCCACUCUGUCUUCAACUCAAUGCAUGUCCAAUUGCCUCGAACAUCCGGCUCCCUCCGGACGUCCGAGGGCCGGACGUCCGGCUGGCUUCGGAAAUCCGCAGCCAGCCACCAGAAGUUUGUGAGGCAUAUAACUCGGAAAUCCGGCUCCCUUCGGACAUCCGAGGGCCGACGUCCGGCCAAGCUCCGGAAAUCCGGAAGUCUUCACCAGUAGAAUGUGUGCUCUAUAUCUCGGAAAUCCGGCUACCUCCGGACGUCCGAGCACCGGACGUACGACCCCCAUCGGAAAUACGAAAGCCACCACCAGUAGAAAUUGUGUUGUAUAAUACGGAUUUCCGGGCCACUCCGGACGUCCGUACGCUGAUGAAUUCAAAUAUGUUCAGGCGCAUCUACAGGUCUCGGACGACCGACCCGUGUGGGACGUCCGGUCGCUGAUGAAUUCAGAAGAGUUCGAGUCGUGCCUACAGGUCUCGGACGAUCGACCCCUGUCGGACGUCCGGCCCCUCACGGACGCCCGGUCGUCCGGCAUGUGUCGGACGUCCGGACCCUGUGUGACUUAUUGCACCUCCAACGGCUGGAUUGCAACCCACACUAUAAAUACUCUUCUCCCACCUAGUGAAAGGGUGUUCAACACAGCUAGAAUACACCCAAGAACACCUUUCCUCUCACUCACUCUUGUCUUCACCAAAUCCUAGAUCCCAAGAGCAUUUGUGAGCCCCUUUGAGUGUUGUUCCAAUGAAAAGAUAGAUCGUCUCCCUCUCCUCCUUCCCACCAAAGUGAUUUGUGAUUUGAGCAAGUUUUGAGCAAUCCCUGUGAUCUUGUUACUCUUGGAGGUUGGAGACUCCUAGGCGAUAGGAGUCUUCGGAGAGGAAUCAAACCAUUGUGAUAUCCCCCGGAGAGUUUGUGAAGGUUUGGAAGCCACCUCAAGGCUUACCACUAGUGGUUGAGAAACGCCUUCGUGGAGUUAUCUCAAAGGGAGAAUAGGGUGAGGCUUCGUGGCGUUGGUGUGCCUUCGUGGUAACAUCCGCCCCUCUAACGGUGACGUAGCUUCCCUCCAAGGAAGUGAACAUCGGGAUACAUCCUUGUCUCUCUCGGAGUUUCAGUUAUUCCUAACCCUAACUCUCUACUUGUGUUAAUCCUUAUUACAUACUUGUAUUUGAUUAUUGUUUACCGCUUGCCUAGCUUCACUCCUAAUAGCUUACUCUUUGUCUUAGCAAUUAUUAGUCUUACACUCAUAUUCCACACUUUAGCCUAAAAUUGCUAAGUAAUUAUUAAAAUUUGGAUUUGUACCUAUUCACCCCCCCUCUAGGUCUAUCUCGAUCAUUUUCACCUGUCGAUCUAUUCGGAGUUGUGCGGAGGCCCCACAACACCGAAGGCAGCUCGGUGACCCAUGCGCCGGCGGCAUGUCCAACUUCUCGCAGGAGUCGAGGCUUGAACCCUUGAAGAAUAAGUCCAUUCUCCCGCUCUGCUUGCCCGUUUGUUUGGGGGUGCGCCACGGAUGCAAAAUCCACUCGGAUACCUUGGCCUGUGCAAAAACCUUUGAACCUGUCCGAGUCAAAGUUUGUGCCAUUGUCGGUGAUUAUGCUGUGCGGAACCCCGUAUCUGGCGAUGAUGUCUCUGAUAAAUUUGAUGGCUGUAAGGGCAUCAAGCUUCUUGAUGGGCUUGGCUUCAAUCCACUUGGUAAACUUGUCGACUACUACCAGCAGAUGAGUGAAUCCUCCUUGGCCUGUUCUGAAUGGUCCAACUGUAUCUAAUCCCCACACGGCGAAUGGCCAAGCAAGAGGAAUUGUCUUGAGCGCAGACGUUGGCUUGUGGGACUUGUUUGAAUAGAACUGACAACCUUCGCAACGGUCGACCAUAUCUUUUGCCAUUUCAUUCGCCUGCAACCAGAAGAAACCAGCUCUGAAUGCCUUGGCGACGAUGGCCCUUGAGGAGGCAUGAUGACCGCAGGUUCCCGAGUGAAUUUCUUCCAAGAUUAACUGCCCCUCUUCAGGAGAGAUACACCGCUGAAGUACGCCUGAAACACUUUCCCUGUACAACUGGUCAUCAAUAACGAUGAAGGACUUCGACCUGCGGACGAUCUGCCUAGCUUGGACUUCGUCUUCUGGUAACUCUUGCCUCAUGAUGUACGCAAUGAACGGCACAGUCCAUUCGGGAAUGACAGCUAGAAUCUCCAUGAUCAAAUCAACCACAGUGGGGACCUCGACUUCAGUCUGAUCUGUUGAGCUCUUCGGUUGUACUGGUUCCUCUGUAAAAGGGUCUUCUUUUACCGAGGGGAGGUGUAGGUGCUCGAGGCAGACAUCACUCGGGACCGGUCUCUGAGUGGAUCCAAGUUUUGCCAAUUCAUCUGCUGCUUGGUUUUUCAGUCGGGGAACAUGGUGAAGUUCUAGAAUUCGAACUUCUUCUCGAGCUUCUUUACUGCGUUGCAGUAUGCUGUCAUGGUGGGGUUCCUUACAUCCCAUUCCUUCAUUACUUGAUUAACCACUAGAUCUGAGUCGCCAUAGACCAUCAGGCGAUGGACGCCGAGUGUGAUGGCCAUGCGCAACCCGUAAAGGAGAGCUUCGUACUCUGCUUCGUUGUUGGAAGAAUCAAAAUGGAUCUGCAACACAUACUUGAGUUUAUCACCUUUCGGGGAUAUGAGCACUACGCCGGCGCCGGAGCCAUUCAACAUCUUGGACCCAUCGAAGAACAUGGUCCAAUGAGCCGAGUAGAUGUGAGUCGGUUGCUGUUGUUCUACCCAUUCUGUUAUGAAGUCAGCAAGAGCUUGAGACUUUAUAGCUUUCUUGGCUUCGAACUUGAUGUCGCAGUAUAGCAUCUCCAUUGCCCACUUUGCCACUCGGCCUAACGCGUCCCGAUUGUGGAGAAUUUCCGACAACGGAGCAUCAGAUAUGACAGAUACCGAGUGGUCUUGGAAAUAAUGAGCCACCUUCUUUGCAGUCAUGUAGAUCCCAUAAAUAAGCUUCUGAUAAUGGGGAUACCUCUCCUUGGAAGGAGUCAGGACUUCGGAAACAUAAUAUACUGGCCGCUGAACCUUGUACACUUUGCCUUCUUCUUCGCGUUCGACUGUCAGAACGGUGCUGACGACUUGAUUUGUAGCCGCGAUGUACAGAAGAAGGGGUUCUUUACUGAGCGGGGCAGUAAGAACCGGCUGGGUGGAAAGCAUGGCUUUGAGGUCGUCGAAUGCGAUUUGGGCUUCGUCUGUCCAUUCGAAGGUAUCUGACUUCUUCAUGAGUCGGUACAGAGGUAACGCCUUCUCGCCGAGUCGAGCGAUAAACCUGCUCAAAGCCGCUAGGCAACCUGUGAGCCUCUGAACAUCAUGUACUCUUACCGGCCGCUCCAUUCGAACGAUGGUCCCGAUCUUUUCGGGGUUGACAUCGAUCCCUCGUUCGGAAACGAAGAAACCGAGUAACUUCCCGCUGGGAACGCCGAAUGAACACUUGGCUGGGUUGAGCUUGAUAUCGUACCUAUGUAGGCUGGCGAAUGUUUCUGCCAAGUCAGUCAGCAGGUCGGAACCUUUGCGUGACUUGACGACGAUAUCAUCCAUAUAUGCCUCCACAUUUCGACCGAUCUGGUCUAGGAGGCAUUUUUGGAUCAUGCGCAUAAAAGUUGCUCCUGCAUUCUUCAAACCGAAUGGCAUAGUGAUGUAACAGAAACACCCGAAUGGGGUGAUGAAGGCUGUUUUUAAUUCAUCUGGACCAUACAGACGGAUCUGAUGAUAGCCCGAAUAGGCAUCAAGGAAGGAUAAGCGCUCGCAACCCGCAGUCGAAUCAACAAUUUGAUCAAUGCGGGGGAGCGGGAAGUGAUCUUUCGGACAGACCUUAUUGAGAUGCUUGAAAUCGAUGCACAUACGGAGAGUCUUGUCCUUCUUGGGCACCAUGACUACAUUAGCGAGCCACUCGGAGUGGUGUACCUCGUGAAUGAAGUUGGCUGCCAAAAGUUUAGCCACCUCCUCUCCGAUUGCUUUCCUCUUGUGCAUGGCGGACCGACGCAUGCGUUCUCGGACUGGUCGAGCAGCAGGAUCCACAUGUAGUCGGUGCUCAGCCAACUCCCUGGGUACACCUGGCAUGUUAGCAGGCUUCCACUCAAAAAAUGUCCCAGUUCUCACGGAGGAAUUGGAUGAGCUUGGCUUCCUAUUUUGGAUCAAGGGUGGUGGAGAUGUUUGUCGGGGCGGCGGUGUCGUCCGUCGGAUGGAUGGUGACUUUCUUCGUGUCUCCCGCCGACUGGAAUGCGGACUCGGAAGCUGGCUUCUUUGAACGCAUCAGGUCAGCGGGGUCGGCGGUCUUCUUGUACUCAUCCAGCUCGAGAAUAGCCAUCUGCUGAUCAGCAAUCCUCGACCCCUGCUGUAGACACUCCUCGGCCCGCUGCCGAUUGCCUGUGACCGUAAUCACACCUUUGGGACCUAGCAUCUUCAGCUUCAAAUAGACGUAACAUGGACGGGCCAUGAAACACGCAUAUGCCGGACGGCCUAGAAUCGCAUGGUAUGCACUCUGGAAGUCCACCACCUCGAAUGUCAGCUUCUCCUUGCGGAAGUUCUUGUCAGAGCCGAAGACGACAUCCAACGCAAUCUGGUCGAGUGAUUUGGCCUUUCUUCCUGGGACGACUCCGUGGAACUGCAUACUGCUCUCGCUAAGUUUGGACAUCGGAAUGCCCAUUCCCUUGAGAGUGUCGGCAUACAUGAUAUUCAAGCCGCUGCCGCCGUCCAUGAGGACUUUGCACAGCCUAACUCCUUCCACCACCGGGUUGACGACCAGAGCCUGCCUACCUGGGGUGGGUACGUGUGCUGGGUGGUCUGACUGAUCAAAGGUGAUCGCAGUCUGUGACCACUUGAGGAACGUGGGAGUGGAUGGGGUUGCCAUGUUUACCUCCCUGUUGACCAGCUUCAGUCGACUUUUGCUUUCCACAUCAGCAAAAAUCAUCAACGUUGCAUGGACUUGGGGGAACGGAUCCUCCUUGUCCUCAUCAUCCUGCUCGGUGUCCUUCUCACUCGGCUGUCCUUCGCCGAAUCCUUGGAUCAGGAGGCGACAAUGCCGAGUGGUAUGCUUCGGCACUAUGACAUUGCCUUCUUCAUCCGUUUUCGUGUGGAUUGGACACGGUUGAUCCAGGAUGGAAUUUCCUGACUGCCUCUUCUUAGGGGUGUACUGUGCUUUCCCCUUGCCUUUGAACUUGGCAUUUGUAACGGCUGCUGCCUCUGCCUGCGGAGUGGAUUGAGCUUUCUGCUUCUGCUUCCGACUGCUGUUCCCAUCUCCAUCGGCGACUGACUUAUGCUUGCCGCUACGUAUGUGGUCCUCCUCUUCGCCAUUUGCAUAGCGCGCGGCUAUCUCCAUCAUCUUUCUCAUGGAGAUGUCGCCUGUCCAACCGAACUUCAGGUACAGAUCUCUGUACCGCACACCUGCCUUGAAGGCGCAUACUUCUUGGUGCUCUGUGACGUUCUCCACCAUGUGGUAGAGGGUCGUCCAGCGUUGGAUGAAAUCGCACAAGGGCUCGUUCUGCUUCUGGACACAGUGCUGGAGCUCUACGAGACCAGCAGGGCGUUUGCACGUACCCUCGAAGGUCCUGAUGAAGAUUCGGGACAGAUCUGCCCAGCUGUAGAUGCUUGACGGAGCUAACUGGUUCAGCCAGGCUCGCGCCGAACCGUCGGGCAUCAGUGGGAGAUGUUUCAUGGCGACAUGGUCAUCUCCGCCACCGAUCUGGACCGCCACUCUGUAGCCGUCCAACCAAGUUUCUGGUUUGGACUCUCCUGUGAACCUGCUGAUUCCCGUCGCCAAUCGGAAGUUCGGAGGGAUGUCAGCUGAGCGGAUGGCCCGACUGAAGCACUCGGGGCCAGAAACAACGGUCCUGCUUCCACUCGGACGGUCUCUAUCGUGACCAUCACGGUGGGCUCGACUUCUGUCGACCUUCUUCUGGGCGACGUACCCUCUUGCAUCAGGCCUUGGAUCAUGCGCGUCACCGCCCGAACGACGAUCAUCGUGAUGUCGGGGCCCGUAAGGCCCACCCCGCGGAGGAGUACGCGAACGGUAACGAUCUUCAGGAUGAGACCAAAUGGGAAGCGGAUUCUGACUCGGGUCCCUGGAACGGCUGCCCCCUCUGCGUCGCUGGUGAGAGUCGGGACUGAAAACCGACCGAUGCAUGUUCGCUUGAACAGAACUGUUGUGGAUCUUGUUGUGCGACUGGGAGACCGCCGAAUUUUGCUGUUGCGCCGUAUGCAAUAGGGCACGGAUCUGCUCGAUUCCUCUACCAGCCUCUGAAUCAGUCAGCUGGAGGGAAUCGGCUAUCCUGGCGGCUGCAGCCAAGUUGAGGAUGGGUGUGCGGAACACCUCGAUGUUGCUCUCGCGAGUGCGUCGACUGGAAGAACGAUGGUGUUGACGACGAGCGCCGGAUGAUUCACCGAACUCACGCUCGUUCCGACCAGUCCCAAGGAGACUUUCAUUGGAAUCGGCCAUGAGAACUUCGGCUGCAGGCCCGCGACCCGGAUACUCGGAAGGUAGCUCAGUCGGAACUGACUCCAAGCACUGGGAUGGCGGCGGGACCACAACCGAUUCGAGCAUCGCCACUUGAGAGGACACGCUCUGUCGCGCCUGGGCGUGUCGCACCCAACGCUGGAGCCGUAGACGACGGGAUCGCUUGUUGCGGCGCGCGACGGGGGCGAAGAUCGACACUGGGGUCAAUGGCUGGAGAAGAAGAACACCGCGGGAACUGGCACGGAAGUGCAUAGCCCCGCGACUGGGAAGCGCCUCGACGUCGAGGGGCGCAUCCCGAAGCCAUGCCGAAUCGUCGGCGAUGAAGGAGAGGGUACCGAAGAGGAUCUCAUGACCCAUGCGCAGAUCUCCGCCGGACGACAUGACGGAAAGAUGAAAUCGCAAACUCGCCGGAAGUCGCUUAGACGCCUGCCCCACGGUGGGCGCCAACUGUCGUGGGUAUAAGUCUGACAGUAGAAGUAUGGGGUACGAAAGUAUGGGCAGAGCCUUAGCUACGGCGAGGAUGUAUGAGUUCAGGUCCCUCUACGGUGGAGGUAAAAGCCCUACGUCUCAGUGCUCUUGGGAGCUUUGUGUCGAGUGGAUUAUAGGAUUACAGCAAGUGCCAACCCCUGUCCAGUGGUGAAGGGCGGCUUAUAUAGAGUGCGCUGCCCUUCAUAAUGGCCCGGUGGACAGGGGUGGAAUAGUGGCGAGUAAAUACUUACGUUACAGGUAACGUAAGCUUUAAAUGCUAAUAAUGGUGUAUGAAAACGUAUGACCGUUGCCCUCCUCGGAGGUUACGAUGUACAUAGUGGAUUCCAGUCGGUACGUUAGAUAUGCUUCGAGUGGAUCGUCGCCGACUGGAUGAUGGGGGCGUCCUUAGUUCAGUCGAAACUGACUAAGGGCGUUGUCUUCUAUGAAGGGUAGUCCUUGGGUAGGACCUAUAGGGCAGACCUAUGACCCUACCCUGGGACUAUAACCCCAUCAGCCGUCGCCACCUCCCGACCCCACCGCGCGUCGCCGCCGGACCAACGCGGCCGCCGUCACCUCCCGAUCAUUACUUUUUGUGAAGUUCAAGCUCUUAGUUUCUGAAGUAGUAUGUUUUUUAUUAUAAAAAAUAAAUUACUAACGUUGGACAACAAUGCACGAUAAAGAUAGCAUAGAUGUAUAACUAGCAAAUUCUUUACCAUCCGGUUUUAGGCCAUUGUCGUUUGUUUUCCACGGAUGACAAAUUAGCUGAUUCCUGUAAUGAUAUCGAGAGGAUGAUAUGUCAUGAUGGUGAUAAGGAUAGGCUAAAUUAUUUCAUACGUGAGUACCAGGUGCACCGGCCUUGUGGAGCUGCACCGGACACCUGUUUUACAUAAUAAAACAGCUAUCUAAAACAUCUAAAAAAUAUACAUAAUGUAGACAUAAUAUAUGUAUAUUGUUAAUCUGUUAUAUAGAAGAAACAAAGCCAAAUUCAGCAUAUAAAACUCUAGAAACAAAAGAACAUAAAUGUUAUGAAUCUACAGAGAAUCACAAGUCGGCAGGCAGGUCGUUAUACAAUAUAAUGAUAAUACUUUGGUUUCUGCUGGCUGACAAUCAUGACACGUAGGUUAUGUUAACUUACACACAUGCAUCAUAUAUAUAUGGGCCAUACUAUUCAAUUCGAACCCACAACACAAACUUAUGCAUAAAAUCACAUUUUACCGGUUUAUGUGAUCGUGUACGAAAUACUCGGCGCUACGUACAUGGCGGCCCCGCUGGCGGAAACCAACCGGUAGGGGUAGGUUGUGUCACGAUCUCAUUGAUUCUGAUGGACAGAAAACAUAGCCACAACAAUCAUGAUGUGUAGUUGAUCUCAUCAACCGUGCACAUAGCCGAUCUCAAGAACGGCGACGUAUCUAAUCCACCGCCUCCACAUAUCAAAUAUGCAUCGGAUAUGAAUACCAAAUCCUAUAGCAGAGACUUUGAUACCACUGUUGGGUUCUACCGUAGGCGCAUUGGAUGCAAAUUAAAAUUUUCCUACGCGAAGAACAUCCAAGAACAUGCUACAGAGAUGGAUCACAUAUAGUUAUCACUAGAUGCGCAGUGCCGUGCAGCGGAAGUAGAGUUGGGAUAGCACGUCCGUGUGGUGGGUCUCCUCCUUGACCGAUCUUCCUCGAACAGCCGGUCGUUGGAUCCCUCUCCCACGAACAGUCGGUCACCGGAUCCCACAUACAUGUGCCGGAGUGGCACAAGUGCACCGCCUCUUACAGUAUCCGAACGUACAGGAGGAACAUCGUGUGGCGGACUGCUAGGUCCGGAUCACACAGUCGACGGCGACGAGUGGAGGUGGCUAGGUGCAAGACAUGCAGAGACUUAAUGACGGCACCGAUGUGAUCAAUUAAAUAAUAGUGCAACACCUCCACUAUAUAUAGGCGUCCGACGCAAGCUCAACUCUUGGGCCUCGCACGGACCCUAAAGCCCGCAUGUUCCUUCCCUUAAGAGCGCGAUCCCUUAGGUUCUCGUUCACUUGGUCGCAAGUCAUAUCACAUAUGAUCGACUAGUCGAUAGCGGCCUCUAGUAAAGCAUGCUGAGUCCAAGUGUCUGAUGAAGCUAGGUAGGCGAACCUGUACUUUAUACUUCUUUUCCCUUUGCCACACGAUAUAUGUUGUCGUGCACAAGGCGACACGGUCAUCCUUGUUGCAGCACGACCUCUUUCUCGUUCCGGUGAAUCCGAUCAACAUUCGAAUUAUCUCAUAAUCCUCAUCACAUGGCCAUGCUUAUCCAGGUCGGAUCAUCCGAGGGGCCCAGAGUAUAACUCUCCUACUCGGAGGGGCAAAUCCCAUCUUGUUCGACCAUGUCUCACAGCAUGGGCCUGGACAAGUCCGAAGCCUACCUUUGUAACUACCCAGUCACGGAGUAGCGUUUGGCCGGCCCAAAGCAAGUCUGUGACCAUCCCGAAUACAUCCGCCAGCUCAGGUCUUAGGACAUAGAACAUAUGUUGUACUAGGGACUCACAUAUGACCUAUCGCUGCGUCUCAUAGUUGGAUUUGUCCAACUCAGACCUUAUCUCGACUCGGAUCCGAUGAAAUCCGAUCAAAAUUUUCCGAGUCCAUAUUAUCCGGUUAGCAUCCAAUGCUACAUGAUCAGUGAGACCGAACCAUCCACCGUGUCAUAUGCUAGUCUGACUGAUUGCGCGCCCACACAAUUCUUUCGACUAGGGACCAUUUAGGACACUUACCAUACAAUGUAUAGGCUCACAAACAAGUCACGUACUUGUUUAUACAUAUCAUUGCUAAUAUCUAAGGACUAUAUUUAUUCAUAAACACAAAGAAAAUAUCAUCAUAUAUGAUUGCCUUUAUAGGGCAUAUCUCCAACAGCCAAUGCAUUCUUUUUUAUGAAUUGUAUCUACAUAUAUGAUUGGGCUAGAACCAUUUUUUACCUAUGACCACAUGCAAAAGUUGUUGGUCCAGACCGUGUCGUUGAGUACUUUCCGACGACACGCGACAACCGAAGCAAAGCAGCAAGCCGAACUGAUCUGACCGAUCCACCCGCAGUGUAUAGCUAGCCUCAACUACCUAAUCGGUCCACAGAAUCAAGUUUCCUCGAUUGAGCUUCUGCCUUGAUUAAAUCACCGCUGGCCAAAGCUAAACAAUGCACGUACGUACCACAAGCACGCAAGCACCCUGGUGGAUGGAUCUCGCGUGUCUUGCUAGCUAACGCAAGUCGCGGUAACACAAUACGUCGGGUUGGCCAAAAGGCUCAUGUCGAGCCUUGGUAAAUUUUAUUGCUUUGUCUUCUCGGUCCAAAGUAUAAGGGUAUACAUGAGUAUAUAUUAGCUAGCUAGGCUGCCAACUAAUUCCAGUUCUACUCGAUGAUUGACCUGGAAACUUACACGGAUACAUACACGGAAACUAAUCCUAGAACGUCGUGGUUAUUCUUAACAAUCACCCCCUAAACACGACGUUGUUACGUUACAGCUUCGACGCCGAUCCUUCUAUGCAUCUUCAAGAACUUCUCCCGAUCCAAAGCCUUGGUCAGGAUGUCCGCCAACUGAUCAUCAGUGUAAUUGUAGUUGACCUUCAUCUUCUCUUUGUCCACGCAGUCCUUCAUGUAGUGAUACAUCGUACCAAUGUGCUUGCUCCUGUCAUGCCGCACUGGAUCCUCGCGUAGAAAAAAUAUUGACUCGGUUUCAACAUUGAGCACCACUUGUUUCGGAUCUCGAUCCAUGAGAUCACCGUGUAGCCUUUCUAGCAACACACCUUGACACUCUGCUUCACAUGAAGUCGAUGUCACCAUUUUCUGCUUUCGUGAUAGCCAGCUUACUACACUUUCAGCAAGGAAAUAUGCCAUGUCCGAGGUACUUUUACGGCCGACAACAAUUCCUUCCUUGUCACUACCACUCUAGCUGAGUAGUUUCUCCAUCUCCUUCUUGCUCAGCUUAAGACGAGGUUCCAUUGAACCAUCAAUUGGAUUGCAAUCUUUCAUGCCACAACUUUCAAGUGCCUUUCUUGCAUAUGCCUUCUGACAUAGUAUGACCCCUUCUGACUUUUGAUGUAACUCUGGCCCGAGGUAGCAACUCAAAAGACCUACAUCAUCCAUCUUAAAAAGCCCCUUCAUUUGUAACUUGAACUUUGCAACACCUCUUCAUCUGCUCCAGUAAUCAAUAGAUCGUCGUCAUAGAUGCCAACUAGUAGACGAUCUCUUCCUUCACCUUUCUUGUACAUUGUAUGCUUGAGUGGGGCUUUCUCAAAUCCAAGAGAAAUCAAAGUCCAAUCAAGUUUGAUGUUCCACGUCCGAAGGUCUUGUCGUCGCCCAUACAAAACUUUGUGUAGCUUCAAUACCUCGUGUCCUUCUCCCUCUUUGAUCAAACUCGGUGGUUGAUUCACAUACACAUCUCCUUCGUUGAAAACCGUGGAUUUUACAUCCAUGUGAUGUAUCUUCCAUGAUUCUUGAACCGCGAGAGCGAUGAGUAAUCUCAUGAUUCCAUCCGUGUAAUGGGAACGAACACUUCUUCGAAGUCGACACCUUCAUCUUGCAUGUACUCUUUGGCUACCAGCUUCGCUUUGUGCUUCACACAAUUUUCGACAUCAUUCUUGAUCUUAAAUUCCCACUUGAGCUCCAGGGCUUUUUCAUUGUUGGAAAGAUCUACAAACUCCCAUGCAUUGUCGUCGUGGAUCGAUCCAAACUCUUUUUUCAUAGCAUGACGCCAACACUCCUUCGUAUUUGCGCCUUCAAAUUUUACCGGUUCCUUGGCGCUUGCUAGACACCGUCGCCCACUCCCUUUCACUUUUAUCGGAUCAAUCAACACCGGUUGUAGCUCUAUGGAUGUAGGUGAUGUUGUCCUUUCCUUCAUUACUGUCACAUGUGACGUUGCAUGCGUGUCUCCUUGUAUCUUUAAGAGCGAUGUGUCAGCGUUUGCUUCACUCGGUUGCUUUUGAUGAAGCAAGGUAUUUAUCUAAACCAUCAGGUGCAACAUACCUUAAGCUGCUAGCAUGGCCAUCAUGCAUGGUUUCUGGACCAAUAACGUGGCCAUCACAGCCUACAAAGCUGUGAUCCGUUGAUCCUUUUUCUGACAUGCUGAGUGGACUGUUGCUACAACCAGCUUUCGGCCUCCACGCUGCCCGUCGUGCUGUUGGUCUUUCUACAGCAACGCCUGGGUUUCCUUUUGCGCCCGUUUUUGGACUACAUGCAACGCUACGGUGCCAAUCGCCUUCGAGCCAUGACGUGGUCUCAGCUCCAUGCUUAUUCAUGCUUGAGCUUGAGCUCACCAACGAGGAUCCACUCGAUACACCUGUAUCCAUCCUCACGCUCGUGCUAGAAGACGUAUCACCAGUGUCAUUACUUUCGACACCAGUUUCAAUAUCACCUUUCGUGUUUGGAGGAUCGACACAACUUUCGUAAUCACGUGUCGUGUCAGUAUCUUCGACAACAAAGCUCCUUCUCCAUGACCGAGGACAUGCAAUGAGCGCUUUCUUCGCUCCAGCAAAGUUGCCACUUACACCCGUAGCAUUGAUGUAAGUUUCGGAAUCAUCCCCCGCAUCUGUAGCAUCGACACGAGUUUCCGAACCAUGAUCUUGGGAGCAAACUUUUUCUUCAUGAAGCACGGCAAAUUAUUUAGCCGACACUUGAAGAACUGGACCCUCCUCGUCCACGAGUUCACACAUCAACAUCAUGUCACCUUCAUCUCCUAGCUGGGCCAUGAGCGCCUUCUCCUUCGGGGGAUUCUUGCACUCUGACUUGAAGUGCCCCUUGAUGCCACAAUUAUGACACUUGAUCUUGCGCUUGUCGAACUUCUUCUUCUUCUUGGGAGCGCCAUCGUUGACGUCCUUCUGACUUUGUUCAUUUGGCACACAAUCUUGGCGAGCCUAACUACUAGAGCCCUCACCUUCUCUCCUUGAGUCCAGCACUUGCCACUGAGCCCGCGGGAGCAUGACAUGCUCAUCGUUCCUCCCGUUCCCGAGACUAUACCGCAUACGCUCGUCGUGAGCCUUGUAGCGGCCGACGACAUCAUCCAUGGAGAGGGUCUCGAGAUCGACGCACUGCUCGAUCGCCGUGACAAUUUGCAGAUACCGGGGAGGAGCCGCGUGCAAGAACCGACGGACUACCGAGGCCUCCGUGAGGUUUUCUCCAAGUGCGCGGAUCCGAUUGACGAGAGUAGCAACCCGUGAAGCGAACGCGUCCACGGACUCAUUGUCGCCCAUGACCAAAGUUUCAUAGUUCCUUAAGAGAGUUUGGAGAUUGGCUUGCUUGAUGCGGGUGUGUCCCUCGAACAUAAGCUCCAAGGUAUCCCACACCUCCUUCGUCUUUUCUUUGGCGAUCAGGUGUUGGAGGAUAUCCAUCGGCAUCAUCAAGUAAAUCGCCGAUGCUGCCUGCCGAUCCUUCGAGUGCUCGGCUCCCUCCNNNNNNNNNNNNNNNNNNNNNNNNNNNNNNNNNNNNNNNNNNNNNNNNNNNNNNNNNNNNNNNNNNNNNNNNNNNNNNNNNNNNNNNNNNNNNNNNNNNNUAAUGUAAGCCAACAUUUAGGAACAGAGGAAGUAGUAAAGUAUAUUCCAGAAUUAACAUCAUUAAACAGAAAAGGGAUGUAGCUUAGAUGGUAGAGCGCUCGCUUAGCAUGCGAGAGGUAUGGGGAUCGAUACCCCACUUCUCCAUUCUAAAACUUGUGUUUUUCUGUUUUUCGCAGAUCUGAAUACUGUAAAAUCGUAAAUGAAUUCAGUUCUCCAACUUUCUUUUGCUUUCUGCAGAUAAUGAAUACUGUAAAUCAAAAUGCGAGAGGUAUGGGGAUCGAAUACCCACUUCUCCAUUUCUUAAAAAAAAAANCUUUUKYUUUCUGCAGAUAUGAAUACUGUAAAAUCAAAAUGCGAGAGGUAUGGGGAUCAAUACCCCACUUUCUCCAUUUUCUUAAAAAAAAAAAAAUACUUUUUUGCUUUUUCUGCAGAUAUGAAUACUGUAAAAUCAAAAAUGCGAGAGGUAUGGGGAUCAAUACCCCACUUCUCCAUUUCUUAAAAAAAAAUUGUACACCUGAAUACUGUAAAAUCUAAAUGAAUUCAGUUCACCUGAAUGUAAAAGAAAAUACUUUGUUUUGCAGAUUGAAUACUGUAAAAUCUAAAUGAAUUCAGUUCAUCGAAAAACUGAAUUAGCACAUUUACCUGGUGAAGUGAUCCUUCUUUUUUUGGUAAACUAUAACAACACAAGAAACAUGCAACAUCAUCCUUAGGGAAAAUUAACGCCGUCUAACACCAGCCUUCCAGCAGACCAUAACAUGUUGAAGAAGAUACAUGGUCACAGAAACAGCAGCAGGAAAGAAAUGGUGAAAGUCAAUCAACCAAAUUUCAUAACUUAUUCUUACCCACUCUUUUUUGUUUGUUUUUGGAAUAUACUGUAUGAAAGCACUAUCUUGACUUCACUUUUGCAAACCUCCAAUCUCACAAGCAUGGGUGGAAUAUGUGCUGCAAACCAAACCAGUGCAAUACUAAUAAUAACGCCAAUAACAAAAAAUGUGACCAUGAUUUUGGUACCAUCCUUUUUGUGGAAAAAGAGAUAGCAAAAUGUUACUCCGAGACACAGCUACAGCAUUCCAGAAAGGAAGAAAGACAUUAUCUAUAUGUUCUGCUCUACACCCAACCAAAUUUAUUCAGUCAAUUGAUUGUCCCAGAAAAAAUCAGUCAAAUCAAUCACGGCAAUGCAGCAUCCAUGUCAAGAUACAGUUGCAGCAUUCCAGGAUUAAAAAAAUACAGUUCCUAAAGUGUAGAACAUUCCUGAACGAAUGGUCGAUGUUGAACUGCGGUCAUCUAAUGCUUCACCAAAUAUCAGCAUUUGUUCUGAUGUAAACAACCAGAGAAGCAUCACUGAAAUUGCUGAUUCACAUACUAGAAAAGACGAGGCAGGACUCCAAUUCUCAACAGGACAAACAGCACCAUUUCCUGGCAGAGAAAUGCAAAACAAAACACAAUACAUCGGUCAAAUCAUAGCAAUCUAACGACGGCGCUAAAUGCCAGCAGAAAAUCGGUUGAACACAAAGAGAAAAAGGACAAAAAAAAGAGRACUCCGUCCUGCUGAUCACAAAAGCAGAAGGAAAGAAAGACCCAACACUUCCAAGAUCAUAUCACCAAAGUACCAGUCUCCUUUCUCCCAUAAAAACAAAGUUUGUAACUUAUUCCUAAACCCAACCCUGGUAGCGUUCAAAUUACUUGCCACUAGUAAUAAUCAGAGACAAUAUCAGAUUCCCAAAUAUGUAUAUGCCCGAUGAAAGACAUCUCGAUGUAAAGAGCAGGGAGUUACAAGGAGGAGGAAGCUAUAGGAGAACUUCGCAUUGAACUUUGCACGCAAUGGGGAUGUAGCUCAGAUGGUAGAGCGCUCGCUUAGCAUGCGAGAGGUAUGGGGANNNNNNNNNNNNNNNNNNNNNNNNNNNNNNNNNNNNNNNNNNNNNNNNNNNNNNNNNNNNNNNNNNNNNNNNNNNNNNNNNNNNNNNNNNNNNNNNNNNNAGAGAGGUGUCUCGGUCAUGUCUGCCUGUCUCCCGAACCCGUAGGGUCUACACACUUAAGGUUCGAUGACGCUAGGGUUAUAGGGAAUUGUUAUACGAGAUUACCGAAAGUUGUUCGGAGUCCCGGAUGAGAUCCCGGACAUCACGAGGAGCUCCGAAAUGGUCCGGAGGUAAAGAUUGAUAUAUAGGACGGAUGGUUUCGGACACCGGAAGUGUUUCGGGCAUCACCGGUAACGUACCGGGACCACCGGGACCACCGAAGGGGGGCUGCGACCCCAAGAGGUAAGAUGGGCUAAUUAGGGGUGGGAACCAGCCCCUAGUUGGGCUGGUGCGCCUCCCCACUCAGCCCAUGGCGCAGGGGAAAGAAAARGAGGGGAACCCUAACUUAGGUGGGCCUUAGGCCCACCAGAGGGGUGCGCCACCCCUCCCCCUUGCCCUGGCCGCCACCCCUCUCCCAUCUAAGGGCUGCCGCACCCCUUAGGGGUGGGAACCCUAAGGGCUGCGCCCCUUCCCCUUCCCCUAUAUAUAGAUGAGGUUCGGGGCUGUUUGAGACACGGUUUAAUCUCUCUCUCUCGGCGCAGCCCUGUUCCUCUCCCUCCUCCUCUCUGCCGGCGCUUGGCGAAGCCCUGCCGGGAGACCUCGUCUCUCCACCAACACCACGCCGUCGUGUUGCUGGUCUUCUUACCCAACCUCUCCCUCCUCCUUGCUGGAUCAAGGUGUGGGAGACGUCACCGGGCUGCACAUGUGUUGAACGCGGAGGUGCCGUUGUUCGGCACUAGAUCGGAAUCGCUGCGAGUACGACUCCAUCAACCGCUUUUUAGCAACGCUUCCGCUUAGCGAUCUUCAAAGGUACGAAGAUGCUCUUACCCCUCUCUCGUUGCUGGUCUCUCCAUAGGAAGAUCUGAACAUGCGUAGGAAAUUUUUUGAAUUUAUGCUACUUACCCAACAGUGGCAUCCGAGCCAGGUUUUCUAUGCGUAGAUUCUAUGCACGAGUAGAACACAAAAGUUGUGGGCGAUGGUUUGUCAAUUUGCUUGCCGUUACUAGUCUUAUUCUUUUCCGGCGGUAUUGUGGGAUGAAGCGGCCCGGACCGACCUUACACGUACGCUUACGUGAGACUGGUUCCACCGACAGACAUGCACAUCGUGCAUAAAGGUGGCUAGCGGGUGUCUGUCUCUCCUACUCUAGUCGGAUUGGAUUUGAUGAAAAGGGUCCUUAUGAAGGGUAAAUAGCUUUGGCAUAUCAUCGUUGUGGCUGUCACGUAGGUAAGAAGGCAUUCUUGCUAGAAACCCAAAUCAGCCACGUAAAACUUGCAACAACAAUUAGAGGACGUCUAACUUGUUUUUGCAGGGUUUGACAUGUGAUGUGAUAUGGCCAAAGUUGUGAUGUUGCAUGUAUGAUGUAUGAGAUGAUCAUGUUAUUGUAAUAGGUUUCACGACUUGCAUGUCGAUGAGUAUGACAACCGGCAGGAGCCAUAGGAGUUGUCUUAAUUUAUUGUAUGAGAUGCAACGCCUUGUGCUUGCUAUUUUUACUUCAUUGCUAACGGUUAGCCAUAGUAGUAGUGAUAGUAGUAGUUGGCGUGACGACUUCACGGAGACACGAUGAUGGAGAUCAUGAUGAUGGAGAUCAUGGUGUCACGCCGGUGACGAUGAUGAUCAUGCGAUGCCUGAAGAUGGAGAUCGAAUGAGCAAAGAUGAUAAUGGCCAUAUCAUGUCACUAUAUGAUUGCAUUGUGAUGUUUAUCAUGUUUUACAUCUUAUUGCUUAAAACGACGGUAGCAUAAUAAGAUGAUCCCUCCUAAAAUUUCGAGAAAGUAUUCCCCUAAGUGUGCACCGUUGCGAAGGCUCGUUGUCUCGAAGCACCACGUGAUGAUCGGGUGUGAUAGAUUCUAACGUUCGCAUACAACAGGUGUAAGCCAGAUUUACACACGCGAAACACUUAGGUUGACUCGACGAGCUUAGCAUGUACAGACAUGACCUCGAAUACAAGAGACCGAAAGGUCGAACAUGAGUCGUAUGGUUGAAUACGAUCAGCAUGAAGUUGCUCACCAUGGUGACUAGUCCGUCUCACGUGAUGAUCGGACACGGGUUAGUCAACAUGAAUCAUGUAUCACUUAGAUGACUAGAGGGAUGUCGAUUUAAGUGAGAGUUCAUACUUAAUUUGAUUAAAUGAACUUAAUUGUCAUGAACUUAGUCUAAAAGUUGUCUUUAUAAAUAUUGUAGAUGUCCAACGUCAACCUCAACUUCAACGCAUUCCUAGAGAAAAACAAGCUGAAAGAUGAUGGUAGCAACUAUGCGGACUGGGUUCGCAACCUGAAGCUCAUCCUUGAAGCAGCUAAAAAGGCUUAUGUCCUUAAUGCGCCGCUAGGUGACCCUCCCGCUCCCGCAGCAGCCCAGGACGUUCUAAACGUCUGGCAAGCCCGGAGUGAUGACUACUCUCUGGUCAGGUGUGGCAUGUUAUACAGUUUAGAAACGGGGCUCCAAAGACGUUUUGAGCAACACGGGGCAUAUGAGAUGUUCCAAGAGCUGAAGCUAGUUUUUCAAGCUCAUGCCCGUGUCGAGAGAUAUGAAGUCUCCGGCAAGUUCUUCAGCUGUAAGAUGGAGGAGAACAGUUCUGUCAGUGAGCACAUACUCAAAAUGUCUGGGUUACACGGUCGUCUGACUUCACUUGGAGUCGAACUUCCGGAUGAUGCUAUCAUUGACAGAAUCCUCCAGUCUCUCCCACCAAGCUACAAAGGCUUUGUGCUUAACUACAACAUGCAAGGGAUGGAGAAAACCAUUCCCGAGUUGUACUCGAUGCUCAAGUCUGCAGAAGUAGAAAUCAAGAAGGAGCAUCAAGUGUUGAUGGUCAACAAGACCACUAGUUUCAAGAAAGGCAGGGGUAAGAAGAACUUCAAGAAAGACGGCAAAGCUGUUGCCGCGCCCGGUAAGCCAGAUGCCGGGAAGAAGAAAAAGAACGGACCCAAGCCUGAGACUGAGUGCUUCUACUGCAAGGGAAAAGGUCACUGGAAGCGGAACUGCCCCAAAUACUUAGCGGACAAGAAGGCCGGCAACGUUAAAGGUAUAUAUGAUAUACAUGUUAUUGAUGUGUACCUUACCAGCGCUCGUAGUAGCUCCUGGGUAUUUGAUACCGGUGCUGUUGCUCACAUUUGCAACUCAAAGCAGGAACUGCGGAAUAAGCGGAGACUGGCCAAGGACGAGGUGACGAUGCGCGUCGGGAAUGGUUCAAAGGUCGAUGUGAUCGCCGUCGGCACGCUACCUCUACAUCUACCGUCGGGAUUAGUUUUAAACCUUAAUAAUUGUUAUUUAGUACCAGCUUUAAGCAUGAACAUUGNNNNNNNNNNNNNNNNNNNNNNNNNNNNNNNNNNNNNNNNNNNNNNNNNNNNNNNNNNNNNNNNNNNNNNNNNNNNNNNNNNNNNNNNNNNNNNNNNNNNACCGUCGGUGGGUGGGGGUGGGUUGGUCCGGACGAGAAAUUCGGAGCGGGGCGAUGGACGACGAGGAGUGUGGGCUGUGGGGGUUGGUCGCUUCGUCCAGCUGGGCUGCACUACGGCCCGUGUAAGUGGGCCUUACGGUUAGCUUCAGGACCUGAUUUUGGGCCUCGGAAUGUACAAAAAGACUGGUUAUAUCGCAACAAUGAGAGUUCAUUCUGCUCAUAAAAAAAUCCAGAGUUCAUUCUGAUUCUCUCCAAAAAGAAAAGAAAAACUCAUCAGAGUCCAUCCUCGGUUUCUCAAAAAAAAAAACAGAGUUAGUUCUCAAAAAGAAAAGGAGGGCUCAUUCUUAGCAACAACUCGUUGAUUUCCCACCGGAGAUGCUUAUAACUUUAUUCCAACAUUUUGUUUCUCAAAAGAAAACCCAUCCCAACAGGUUUGCAUCUACGUGCCGAAAAUCUCGGGCAUAUCUCGUGCAACCAAAUCAGCAUAGCUGUUUUGCCCAGAGCGCUUCCCUCGGAUUCUUUCAUAUGAUUAUGGCAGCUAUUACAACGGACUUGCUUCUCGAAAAAUCUCUAAUACAGUUUACAAUGCACGAUGCAUCGCCUCAGUUAUGUGUACAGAAAAUUUUGGGGCAACGUCCGAGUGUUCUAGACAGUAUACACUGCCCAUUGCUAAUUCCUCCC
rnacentral:lncRNA from 1 species